UUUUUUUUUUUUUUUUUUUUGUACCAAAAAUUGUCUUGCAAUAGACAUAUUCCAUGGGGAAGAAAACCCAAGCUGCACAUUACUAGAGUUACUUGGGUAUAACACAGUGCAAGAAUUAACUUAUGUGCUAGUUAGUGCCAGAAUCGGACUAGUUAGUUUCCAAUCACCGCUUUCUCUUUCUUUUGGAAUUCUUGUCUAAGUCAACCUCAGCAGGCUUUGAUGAUAAAGCUUUUGACUUGGCAGCUACAGAAGCACUCCACAAAGCCCUCUCAACAUCUGAUGGUGUGAAUAGGUCCUCCUCGCUCGAAAGUUCCAUUGCCUUGGCUUGUAACUUCUCCACAAAAACUAGAUAACUCUUCAAUGUAUAGUCCUUCGUGUUACCAAUUGCUGCUUCCAUCGCCUCGUCGGACAUGAAUGGAGUAAUAUGAGGAGCAUAGGCAGCGAGAAUAGCGGAGGCAGUGGCGGGGCCCACGCCUUUCAAGACGGUGAGCUCCUUAACAGCUUUAGAAACGUCCGGCAACGACUCGAACGCUUUUCGCGAGGCUGAUUUGACAACGUCGUCGUUCAGCGAAGAAACGAAGUCCAGCAGCCUGGGCCUCCAUUUGCCCCUGCUCAGCUUCCACUGCAUUAAUUUUGAGAGUUCAUCAGUCGUUAUAUAUGGAGUAGGGUUCCUCUGCUUUACCAGUACCGGAAGCUCGUUCCUGUAGAAAUCGUCGAGGGAAAUAAGGUUUGGUUUGUUUAAGGAUUCGAUGCUGGACUUGUAGGACGACAGAGCCGCCUUCCAUGAGCUUAUGUCCGAGCAUUUCAACUCCAUGGCUGCCAUCACUCUGCAACCUUUUUUCUUUUUUUUUUUUACGCCAUUUCAAUUCACAGUUUUUGACUCUAACAAUACAUUACUCUGUCAUAUUCCCUAAACUUGUAUACAAUUGGUAAUAAUUUUUGCACCUUCCAUUAUGUGAAGGACAUAGAAACCGGCAAUUGUGGUUUAUAUACAGUAAAAUUUAAGCAAAACAAGUUUUGGCAUAAGGAUUUUGAUACAAAAACAAGCACAUGACAUUUUCACCAUGUAUAAACUCUAAUAUUUUUUUACACCAUACACCAAAAACUACUUCACAGAAAAUGGAGUUUACUCAGGGAGAACAAUCUUGUAGGUCUUUGAGCAUCUUGGAAGCAUUAACAAUUUCCUCCAUUUAGAAUAUAACCAAUGUUCAGUGGAUGCGUUAUCCUCUCAAAACCUAAAACUUAUUUCUUUGAGAACUGCUUCAUGUUGUAAAAGAUACUCGAUGAUAUAAACUGAGUUCGACAACCAGAACAAUCAACAGUUUCAACUUUAUUUAGCAUCUGAGCGAGACAUGAACGAGGUAAAGUUCGGCUCCCUGCUGAAAACUUCGUAUGCACCAAAUUUUCAAAUCAUAGGGUAUCUUCAUAGAUGAAGGUAAAAUCAUCAAUAGGGUGAAAUUCUAUAAUGUUCUCUGCUGUGACUAGAGACUCUUAAAUUUUUUAGUGCGUGUUCAUCAAGAGAUUCAAUCAUCAAGUAUCGAAGAUUUGGGUUAUCAAUCAUAAUUUUGUGAAUGUCAUUAUAGGAUAAUGUCAUUCUUCUAAGGGAAUUCAUGGAGAGAUCUAGAAUUUGACCUUCUUCUGGGUAGCACUAAGACAAAUUUAAAUCUUCAAGUGACUCACAGCCCAUAAAGAACUUUGCAACUCUUUCCCCACCUAUUGAGAAAUAUUUGGAGUUUAUAACUCGUUUUUUCUAACUUAUGUAAUCCCUUAUUUGUAACACUUUUUGGCGCAACAUGCUACUUCAUUAGAAAUCUUGUACUAACUUUUGAUUAUAUUUCUAGAGCAAGUGGGUAAAUAUAAGCAAAAGUAAUACUUGCCCUGCAGCUAUAGGUGCUUGAUUUUCGUACACCAGCUUGGAUAGUUCGUCCUCCCCCAUCAGUUGGCUUAAGUUCCAUGUUGUGUUUUUAGCUAGUAUGCACUUAACGGGAGCUGACUUGGUUCAAGACUUUGUUGACUCUAUUUCCAUGAAACUGAUAGUAACACACUUCCUCAAUAGUCAUACUUCUUCUCUUUCUAUUUUUUUGUCCCUUCUCUUCAUCCUCUUUGCCCCUUGCCCCCUUCCCCACUUUCCCCCUUGCCCCCUUGCCCCCUUCCCCACUUUCCCACGCCCCUCCCCAAAAAAUAUGUAAAAGGGUUGUUCAAUUAAAACGUAGAAUAUUGGAAUUUCACACCAAUAUUUUAUAGCAGCUUUGGUGCACUGGAACCAAGAAACUGACUGAGUUAACAUUGUUGACUCAUUGGCCUCAUAGCAAGUGGAAAAGGUUAACUGAGGGCAAGAGUCCAAUGAAAAGGUUAACAUUGUACUCAUUGGCGUUGAUAAUGGCCCAGCGGCGUAAACCCAAACGAAACAAGUAGUUAUCUUGAUGAGCAAGUGCUAUGAAAGAAUGGACUUGUUCUUCAUCUAUUGGUUUCAAAUUUCUAUUGUGAAUAGGAAAGGAAAUCUCUGUUCUGGUUUACUAGAUUCUUUAAAGUUUAUGAGGCUAGAUAAAUAUGGUUAAACUGCAUCUGUAUUAACUUUCUAAAUGUUGGUCUGUUGUAGUAAUAGCACUGUAAGUACUGACUGUGUAUUACACUAAGUUUUGCUGCCAAACCAUUAAAUGAAGAUUUUAGACUUGGAAGCAAACAAUUUGAUUCUCAUCUGUUCCAGUUUUCCUGAUGCGGCCUAAGGCUGAAAUUGAUAUUAAGGAUUAGGAUUCAGUCUGAAUGAACUUGAUUGUACAUGAAAGCCACAAGGGGGAACCUGAUUCUACAAACUUUUAAUGCUUCUUAAGUGGUUGCCUUAAAGCAUCAGUUUAUAGUGAACUCAUACAAAAUCUUAGAUUGUUCAAUCAAAAAGCAAUGCAAGUAUACUACAUGAUUUGUAGUUUGCCAGUUCAUCACAUCCGAACUCUUCUACUUUAUUUGUUGAAGUUUGUAAUUUGAAUUUGCAGUCUCCAAGUAUUGUGGUCCUGGAUGUUUGUACCAUAAACUUCUUCUGUAAGAUUCAGUGCCAAAACUUCUCUUUGGGUGUUUGUUAUAUUUUUAUAAGAAAGAAAGGAAAUGGGAAGCAAUUUGAAAAAUCUCAAUCAAGUACUCAGUCACCGGAAAAACUUUGAGGCUAUGUUGCAUGGACUAAGGCAAUGGAUAAAGCCUUGGCUUAGGUCUUGCUUGACCAGAUGGCUAAAGGGAAUAAGAGUGAUGGCAAUUCUUGCAAGCCUCUAGUUUUACAAACUGCACUUGAGUAAAUGAACUCUGAAUUGGGUCUUGAAUUGACAAAAGAAAACAUAAAGAGUCACCUCAAACUGUGGAAAAGGUACCAUGCGGUGGUUACAGAUGCAAUCAAGACACAAAGUGGAUUCAAGUGGGAUGAAGAAUGAAAGAUGAUUGUUGUGACAGCAAAAGAUGUAAAUGAAUGGAAAGUUUAUGUUAAGGUACAAAACAAGCAGUCAUUUAUCUUGUGUUGCUGCCUAGUUUAUAUGAUGAAUUAAUCCACUUAUUUUCAUGCAGUCUAAUCCUGAUGCUAUGGGAAUGCAAAACAAAGUAGUUGACAAUUGGAAAGAUAUUGUUCUGUUGUGUGGGAAAGAUAGUCACUUGUGAAGGUGUUGAAACCUUUGAUGAGGGAGUUGAAGCAAUGGCAGAAGAAGAGUAAAACAAAGCAAACAGUUUAGGAAAUAUCAAAGGACACUAAUUACAGCCCUAGAAUUCUCUGGAUGUUCAGUAAAGCAAAAUCCAGAGCAGAAAAAAUAAAUACAUCACCAUAAUGGACCAUUUCACUCCAUAAGUUCAAUUAAACAGAGUCUUAUAUUUUAACCGCCACGAGGACUUCACUUUCUUCUUCUUCCCAACUGGAAGAGCCAUUUCUUUGAUCUUUUGAUACUAGGUAAGGCAUUGUUUCUUUUAUUUGUGGGUAGUAGCUAAGAGAAGCUAAAUCUUUGUCUCAAAUUUCUGUGAAAAGUAAUUUUGCCUCUGAAAACAGAGUUUGCCAAAUUCCUCCUCCGAAACAUAUCAAACUGUUCAUCAAGGAGAGGAAUGCCUCCCGUCUUUGCGAACAUCUUGAUGACUAACCCCUCUAACUAUUAUUGUUAUCAUUAUACAAAUAUAUCAAAAGAAGCAAUUUUACUUGACACAAGGAAGCGUUCAACUUUUCCAUAGAGCAGAAGAUCUAUCUGACAUUAACUAAAUGUCAGCACCAAUCUGGAUAUAAAAAAUGCGAAGUUCAAGAACAAAAGGUAAUUGUCAAACUUAGAGUAGUCUCAAAGAACACAAGCCCCUUGUAGGUGUUUUAGACUACAUAGAUUUGCAUAAAUGGAACAAAGCAUUGUCCACUUCGAUGUUUCGGAACAGAAUUGCAAAAGCACUCAGCAGUGAAGAAUCGUACAGGCCACUAAUGUCUGCAAAUGAGCAUAGGCGGCAAUAAUGUACCAAACAACAAACAACAAUUAGGAAACCAUAUAUGAACUGGCACUGACUAAUAUUUUUAGAUUUGAUCUUGCAAAGUAUGGGUAGAGUUCAAUAUUUCUUUACUGAAUCCAAUCUCAUGAUCACCUAAUUGCAGGAAGAAAAGAACCACAGCAAUAAUGUUAAAGAAGAAGUUAACGUAGCAUCUACAGAUAUUCAGAGAACGAGUUAAUGAUUUUGGCAUCCAGUACAUUAUCAACGCCCGCAAAAAGGGCAAAAGUAAUUAACUCUGCUUUUAAAUGGACCAAAAUACCACAAUACUUUAUAUGUCAAACCACGAAAACCCAAUAGUUCAGAAGAUUGCGCUCACAGGAAGGAAUCUGUAGAAUGAAACAUUAAAGUCCAGAAUCUGGAAUCAUACAGAAGAAAACAGCGCCAACAUCUUUUGGAUCCAGAAGUAGCGAAUUUGAUAUUUUGUGUUUCUUUGAGCAUCUAAAGCACAAAAGUUUCCUCCAUACGCUUAAUGAAGCACAACCUCACAGUUUUUGAAGCUCCUCCUCGACUUUGAUAACUUCUCGUUAACGAAUGAUUGCCUUUUUCCCGAAAUUCACCUUCAUAAGCAUAUAUAGACAUCUUCUGCAACACACUCCCAUGCUUCAGAAAAUAUCUUACUAUCUGAAACUCGUAUUUUCUCCCACUGAAAUUUUUUAUUUUAACUUCUGUAAGAUGCUCAUCCAAACACCAAGGUUUGUCUUUAGCACUAUUCUGUAGGAGUAUAUUGCCGUCAAUUUCCUAUCCGCACUGAUCAAAAGACAAAAGCGAAACCUUGACAUUAGAUUAAAUAAUUUUAUCUCUACCUAUUUUUAAAAGGAGAAAGGCAAAACUCAUUUGGUCCACUCCGUUCAAAUCACCCAAGUUCAAAGGCCAACUCACCAUGUCACAGACAAGCACUUCCAAUUUUCAACGCGGCAUGCCAAUAGUUCCAAGUGUGUCAAAUUUAGAAGUUCAGGUAGCAGAUGAUUUGCCUCAUUGAGACACUUCAAAUAACAUAAAGUGCAACAGUUAUUCAAAUGGAAGCAAAAUAUGUACUGUAAGCCCAAAAAUCAAGAAAAGGUCACUAAACUACAGAUAUUCACAAUUAAAAGAAAUUUACCUCUAUAAUAUAGCCCCACUAACGGAGAAUCUUUACAUUGGACAUUUCAUCAAUGAGCUGGUGAAACUGAUAAGCCUCAGUCAAAGAAAUAAAACAUAGAUCAGCUCCAAUAAAAGAUUUCAACUUGCAAGUUGAGCCAACUAGUGGGCAUGAAACAUUCCAGAUGCUCAAGAUAAUCACAUUCCAGACACUCAAGAUUCGGGGUGUUAAGAACAACCCGAUCCCCUCCAAUAGGAACAUUCCAAACCAACUUUUUUAGCAAAGGAAUCGAAAUAUCAACUAAUUCAAUAUCAAGAUGAUUGACAUUAGAAACCCGGAAAUCCCCAAGCAAUGGAUAUCUCACAGCGACUUCCCAACGUCGAGUAUUACUGAGCAGUCUCACCUCUCUUGCUAAACUCAAUACGUUCAGACGUGGAAGCACGAUCGUUCCAAUUCUGGAACCCUGAGGAUAAACUCUCACGUAAUUUCAAUACUACAAGCGAUUUGCGUCCAAAUAUAUCAGGUGGGAUGGAUUUUAAGCUCUCACAGUAGCAAACUCGUUCAACGCAAAUGUCAACAACUUCAACUUUGCUACAGAGUGGAGAAGAUAUCCACACCUUAAUUAGAUCCAUUUUCCCAUGUCAUAGCUCUAAUAAUCUAAGCCGAAAUUCUUUUAUGGAAGUUUUAUGAGUUUAUCAAGUCUCGCAGCCAAACAACGGAUUCCCGCCUCGAACAUCAAUUCAUCUUUUUUGUUAACACCAUGUCUGCCUUUUAGGUCAGGAUUUUUGAAAACCAGUGGCUCGUCAAAGUCAAUCUUGGGAACGUCUAAGAAAAGAUACCUCCACCUGGUGGAAAGGACGGAAGUCACCGCAGCAAAUUUUGUCCGGAGGAACGAGAGUAUGUGGUGGAUGAUGGCGUCAGGCAGAUCGCUGAGUUGAUCUUCUAUGGGAACUCCUGCACUACUAGUUUCCUCAGACAUGGUUAGUUUUGAGAUGGGCUGUCAACCCUUUGCCUGGGAACUAUGCCCUGCUGAGUAUUUCAAUCAUGGCUGCCUUUGAUAUGGGUUGUGAUCACAGGAAGGACUCCGGCCCUAGUGGAUGUAAGUUCCCCACUCAUGGCUUGGCUGUAAGCAUGUCAAUGGGUUGCGUUUGGAUUGAAUUCUUUUAAUUCAGAUGUAAAUCUAUUAAAUUUUGUUAGACCUAGAUCUUUGGAGAAAUUUCUAAUUUUGUGAUGAAUUUUAAAAAAAUUCUACAAAAGGGGUGAUUUUGAUUGGGUAUUCCGUAGGGGGGGUCUUCGCAUUUUGCGAAUGCGAGCUCUGCUGAGCUCGCAUUCGCAAAAUGCGAGCUCUGCUUAUUGAGCUCGCAUUCCACGAAUGCGAGCUCAAUAGAGCUCACCCUGAUAUAUAUAUAUAUAUAUAUUUUUUUUUGGGCUCUCAUUAAAUUUUUUCCAGAAAAUAGUAAGAGCUAAAUAAAAUUUUUCAAAUAGCUCGCAUUUGAUAAAUUUGACCUCUAAAAAUUGUAUUUAAUUUUUUUGUUAGAUUUCGCAUUUAUAAGUAUGACUUUCAGAAAAUUAAAUUCAAACUUGCUAGAAAAAAAAUUUAAAAUGAAAUUUACGAGCUCCCACCAAAAUGUAUCUUUUUCAGAAAAUGUUGUUUGUUUUGUAGAAUUUGCCUUUACUAAAAUGCUGUCGGUAGUAAAAUCUUAUUUUAAAAGCUCUACUAAAAUCUUAUAUUUCGGAGAAAUGUUAAAGAAAUGUUAUUUAAAAUCUGUAAUUAGCAGAGGAAUAAAUUUUUUUAUUUUAAAACUUGCACGUGCCUAAAGUCAUCAAAUAUGUGUUCUAAAAAAAAUCAUAUUUCUUUUAUAUUAAAAAAAAUUGGUAAUUGUACGGUUGAAAAUACGUUAUUUUAUUAUAAUACAUUUAAAUGGUGGAAAAAGUACACAUGCAUAGUUCUUUCUAUUUCAUAUAUCAAUGAAAAAAUAGAAUGAAAUUGUUAACAUGUAAGGUAUUGACUAUAUUUUAUGAAUAAAAUACUAACUUUUUUUCCUUUUUUAUCAAAUAAAUUUUUUUUAUCAAAUUCUAAUUUUCCUUUGUUAUUAAUGAAUCGUAUUUAUUUGUUGACACCGACGAAUUUUAGUUAUAAGAAUCUAAUAGUUAAUAGUCAUUAAUAUCUGUUACAAUUUCAACUGUAAUUUUAGAAAUUUCAUAACGCAAUGUUAUUUAAAAAAAUUAUAUAAGUUAUUUUUAUGAAGUGCAUGUUAUUUGUUUUCUUUGUUUUGCUGUUCGACAAUUCCGAAAUCUUUGUUUUGAUGUUCGGCAGCUAUGUUUCGAUAUUGCGUUCUGCUUCUCCCACUCACUUUUGUCUUUUUUUUUUUCGAAAUGGGUCUUGGCGGUAUGUAGUGCGAGAAUGCGAGCUCAAUGCGAGCUCAGUGAGCUCGCAUUUUCAGAAUGCGAGCUCAAUGUGAGCUCGCAUUCCCGGAAUGCGAGCUCAGUGAGCUCGCAUUUCCAGAAUGCGAAGACCCUCUUUUGUGGAAACAAACCCAAGAACCGCCCUCGUUGUAGAAUUCUUUUUUUUUUCCAUCAUAAACUGAGAAUUCACCCUAGAUCUUUGUGGGUCUGAAAAAAAUAAGUUCAAACCCAAAUCCUUCUGGAUCUGGUAUCCGGUAAGUAUAGGUUCUAUUUUUUUACACACACUAAAGUAAAAAUAUAUAGAUUUGAAAAAAAUAUAAACACCAUCCAAUUUUUAUUUUCAAAUAAUAAAAUUAAUAUUCAAGAAGUUGAAUGAAUAUACGACUACUUCUAUUUAUUUUUAAAACUCCUACUAUAUCUACGUCCAAUCUUUCAUUUAUUUGCCUUUACUUUUUCUUGUUUUCCUGAAAUAGUUUGUACUAAUUACAAUGAUAACUAGGAUUAGUUUGAAAAAAAAUAAUUAUGAAGUCUUAUUGUAUUCGAUCCAAUGACCAUAUAAUAUUAGAAUAUUUUAUAAAUUUACUAAUAUAUAUAUAUAUUUUUAAUUAUAUAUAUAUGGGUCUGAAUAGAGUCUGGUAUGGGUUUGAAUUUGAAUAUGGGUCAUAAAAAAUCAGAUCCUACCUAGCCCCACAACCUUGUUAUAGGAUUUGGGUCUAGAUUUGAGAAAUUAAAUCCAAAUCCUACCCAAGUAUCUUGAAUCUGGGUUGGAUUUGGGUAAGAUCCGAUACAUUGACAUGCCCACUUAGCUGCUUUUGAGAUGGGUUUCUUUCAGCCAAAGAUGCCUUAAAUAAUUAGGCGCUAUUAUUUACUUACUUUAUCCCAAAACUAAUGAUGAAAUGUAACAUAGUUUGUUGAUUAUUUUUUUAGGGUCCAUUUGGGUGCUAAAAAUAAUUUUGAGCCUUUUGAUAAAUAUCGUCCCAUAAAAUUAGAAACGAAACUUUUUCAGUUAAAAGCACUUUUAGUAAAAGAUCAAAUUUGAUGCUUUUAGAAUAACUUUUGUAUUUGAAGAAAUAAAACGUUAAAUUUAAUCAUGUUAUCCUAAAUUAUAAAUUAUGAAUUCAAUAAAGAGAUAAAUGCAUUUAAAAAUUUUCAAAUUGCACAUUAUCAAACACAAUAAGUAUUUAUUGAACUAUAUAUCCAAAUAAUAUAUUUAAAAGCAUUUAAGCACUUUUAUUAAAACUUCUAUUAUGUGAAGUAUUUUUUUGAUAAGCUAUUGCAAUCGUAAAUGGGUGAUUAGUUACAUUAUCCACAAAACUAAUUGUCAAAUGUAAUGUAGUUUGUUAACUCAAGUGAGAAAACAUGUUUCGCCCUUAGAAUUGUUAUCAGUUUACUCCAAUAAACUAUAACAUUAUUUUCAAUUUAUCUCCUAAUAUUAUUUUUUAGGCACCACUGAUGAAAUUAAUUUAGCAUAUUGCAAAAUUUUAGAUGAAGUUAGCUUCCUCUCUUACAAUUAAAAGAAAAUGAGAUACCAAAUUCAAAAAUCAACAAGUGCUCUUAUCUCUUUUUUUUUCACUCUUUUUAGUUACCAAAAAGAAAAUGAGAUAGAGGAAAGAGUAAGAACUUAAUUCUAAGAAAGAAAAUGAGAAAAAUUCAAUAUUCUCAUUAUUUUAAAAUCACUCCUCACUCUUCUACCUUCCACCAAAUUCCAACUCCGAUGACUUUAAAACGGUCAAAAUAUUAGAUUCUUCUUUAUUUUUUCUUCUUUUCAAAUUUGAGUUUUUGGUGGUCUCUCUCUCUCUCUCUCUCUCUCUCUCUCUCUCUCUCUCUCUCUCUCUCUUCCAUAUCUUUUUCUUUUUCUUUUUCUUUUUCUUUGUAUUAGUGGGAAUGAAAAAAAGAAGAAAAAACCCUUUUGCUUUUACUUUCUUGGUACUCUUAGUAUAAAAAAAAAAAGAAGAAUAAAACCAUUCUAACUUUUUAUUGUUUAAUUAUACAAAACAGAAGGAUGUUUCCAUUUAAAAUAUUUAAUAUGUUGAAUUGGCUUAGCAGUAGUAGAAAAUGCCUAAAAUAUAACAUUAGAAAAUAAACUAAUAGUAGCACUAUAAUUUAAGGGGUAAAGUGAUAAUAACACUAUACUAGUACCAUUAGAGAGAAGGAUAUUUUUGUUCAAAAUUUUACGUAAAAUGACAAGAAAAAUAACGUUAACAAGUAAAAUGAUAGUGGUGCUAUAGUUUAAAGGAAUAACAUAAUAAUAACCCCUACAUAAUGCAGAGGAACUGUUGCAAUGCAGUCGAAAGUUUUCAAAUAGGUGUUACAAUCUAUGGCACCAUCACACUCCCAAGAAAUAAACUAUCAACCAAUGUUCAGGAAAACACAAAACUGAAAAAUAUUGAUUAAGACUCCUUCAAAUCCAUGCAUAAGUAACGGGUAAAAAUUUGCUUUCAAAUGAAGGUUGACAUCCGUGCACAAGCAAGCACAUCGAGACAUUAUCCAAUUAAGUUAUUGUAGUUCAACUGAAAUUUAUUGUAAAGGAAUUUUAAAAUUAACUUGUUAGUGAAUUCAACAAUCAAAAAACACAGCAAUCAGCAGCCUAGCAUAAUUCUCCAGUCACUUGAACUUUGACACAUCCAGUCUAUUGCCCAUCAAUUUCUUAAGUUAGCCACCUGAUCAUUAACCCUGCAAUUGAAUGUGUAAAUACUUGAAUUACACUGGACGGAUCAUUGCUAAAGUUUCGUUAUCACUAUCUUGUGCCUUCCUAAUGCUACCAUCACCUCCGCAGUCUCAUCCAAAAUGGUUAAACCAAUUCUACCCUGCCCUUUUUUUUCCCACGUUCCAUCCAUAUUGAUCUUCAAAGCAUCAACGGGUGAUUUGUUCUGCUUGACAGGUGCCGAGCCUGUGCAAUAAUAAAUACCUACUCGAGAAAAAUAAAUUUUCUGUGUAUAGUAGUGAGUAGGGUCAAAUCCACAGGGACUGGAAAAAAUUCGAUUCUUUUCAAGUUCGGGACACGGGGGGUUUUAUCAAGAUGAAAUUAAAAAUAAAUAAUUAAACAAUUUAACUAAAAAUAAUUAACCAAAAUAAAUAAUUAAUUAAUACAAUUGUAAAUAGCAAUUAAAUAAAUGAUAAAUAAAUUCUAGCCAAGGAUACAACUACGCAGGCACAGUCCAUUCAUCCGAUCAUUGAUGCAAAGAAGGUUCACUUAAUUUUAUUAACAGGUUAGUUAUAGUCGCCGAUAAACUCUAACAACCAGCUUUUCCAUAAUUUAUUGAUAACCAAGGUACGACCGCUGAUUACCCCUAACCAGGAAAUACUCCUAGGUACGACCGUAGGAACUAAUUUCCUAAUUGCAUUAAAAACUAGAAAAGCCUAACCCAAAUUAAUAACACGCUACGAGGGUUAUUUAAAUCAGAUUGCAUGUCCCCCUAAUAUGUGAAAAUACUAGUUGUCACUAAUAUUAACCAACUAAAUAAUUACGGAUUCAAUUGAUUAAUUUGACAGGAGAUUAAUAAGUCAAAUUGCACAUCGGGCCCUUGAUAUCCAAUAAUUGUAUAGAGUUUCACAAUAAUCUUCUCAAGAAGGUUUCUGCUCCACUUUCUGAAAGUAUAUCCAAAUAUCAAAUAUAAAUAUAUAUUGACAAUUAAAGCAAUAUUUGGCAAGGAUAAAGAGGAGAAUUAACAAUAAAAUUACUAACAAUUAACACCCUAUCAAUUCCCCCCACACUUAAAUCAUGCUUGUCCUCAAGCAUGGGAACACUAAACUCAACAAUGGCUAACUCUCAUUUCAUUUACUGCCAAGCUACGCUUAUCCCAAAAUCAAGUUUUAGUGGUUAAGUGUCAAGACAUAUUUCUCCCGGUUAGCUCCUGAAAUCAUAGACUCGUCCAAUUCAUGGCUAAGUCGUCUAAGAAAUCAAAAUAUUAAACUAGCAAAAGUUAGCAAUUGGGUCAAUUGAAAAUCAAAAUCUCAACAUUGAAGAACAAGGAUCGGCAGGCCAACAUGAUCAUAAACUUACUUAUUAUUUUCUUUUCUCUUUUUUUUUUUUUCAAUAAAUGCUCAGUCCCAAGCUAUUCAAGUCUUUUGACGUGAACUCUGACAUUUUUAGAUGAAAGAGCCCAGUUACUCAACUCUUCACAGCUUCAGGACUAACUACUCAUAUAUAUAGUCACUUUUUGACGCGAAAGUCGACACUUGUGGUGAAGACUCCCGGUUACUGGGUGACGACACUAGCGGAGUAGGGUCAUUUAUUACUCACAAUUAAAGCACCAGAAAACCAGAUAAUUAAAGAUCAUGGCCCACGUCAUCUCCUAAUAUGGAGAACUAAGAUCAACAAUUGCCUAAUCCACACAACAAUUGCUAGGAAAAUAUUUAUAUUGCCUAAACAAUUUAACCACAAUUUGCACCAAGUCAUUAAACUCAUGAUAUUCACCAAGAUAACAUGCUUUUACUUGCCACUUAAACUAAAUUCAUAGAAUAAAUCAUAACCAGCAAUAGACGAGUGAGAUGCCACAUUUAUUCAUCAAAACACUAGUAAGAAAGGCAGCAAAUUAAAGAAACACCAAUCAAAACUAAACCCAAAUCCCCCCCACACUUGAAUCACACAUUGCCCUCAAUGUGAUAAUGAAACAGUAAAAAUAAGAAGAAGGACAACGAAACUCCCCUGAAGCUGGUGCCAGCUAUUAGCACCUGUAGUUGGAGGAGGUGAAGCGGAGGUCAAAGGGUCGGGAUCGUGGUUUCACCAUUCUUUCCAAAUUGCACUCCAAACCACAAUAGACAACAGUUGCUAACGAAUAAUGGAAACAAGAAAUUCAAAGCACUAACAAAUGAAAAAUCAAGUCAAUGAACAAAAUGCACACUGCAUUCACUCGCAAGUUAUACAGAUAUUUCAACACUUAUAACAAAUGCAAUCAAUAAACACUUGUGGUUCCAAACUUAGCCAAAUGUAAUAAUAAUGCACCUCAAAAUCACCCCAAUCAAUGUAGUAAUUGAAAUGCAAACAGACAAAAGGCUCUCAUAUAAGGCAAUUGAAGGCAAUGUACUUCAAUAAGUAAAUUUAAGUGUUAAAGGCACCUCCCAAUUGAACAAACAACUGUAGCAAAUUACCCACAGUUAGACACAAAGUACAGCAGAAUAAGUAAAUCACACGACUAACCACAAGUCAAUCUACUAAAUAAAUAAAAAUCAAGCAAAGUGAAAAGAAACAAGCAAAGUAACACAGAAGUACCCAACUAAGGAGGAAUAGAAAUGUCAGGUAGUCCAAACACGCAAAAUUUUCAAAAACGUACUGUAAUAAAAAUAAUAAAAACAUACUGCAAUAAUAAAAUAAGAAAAUGAAAAAAAAUAAUAGAAAGAGAUUGAGGCAGGCGCGUGCAUACGAAGCCAGUGGUGCGAUGAAGGUGGUGGCUGUGAGAGAGAAGAGUUUGCGGCAGCUGGAUCUGGUGGUGCGCGGCUUUCGGGGCUUCAGGCGGAUCUUGGAGGCGGUGGCUAUGGCAAGGGUGAAGGAGGUCAGAUGAGCUGGUGGUCACCCUUGGCGAGGAGAGCCGAGGCAGCGGCGAGAAGAGCUGGGGUGGGCGGCGGUUGCGGCAGCAGCGUCCGGCGUGGGCAGCGUCGACGAGCGGCAGGGAGGAGCGGCGCGCGAGCCAGUUGCCGCGACUGUCGUGGGUCAGCGGAGCUUCUGGCGGCGGCGAAUGAAGAAGAAAAGAAAAGGGGGAAAAAGGGCAAGCAGCGGGGAAGAAAAGAAGAAAGAAAGAAGAAAAGAAGGAAAGAAAGAAUACAAAUUUUUUUUUUUUUUUCGAGCAUUCUGGACAGAAUCCGGAUUUAUGGCCGGAUUUGCUGCAGAAAAAGCUGUUUUCUGUAGUUUUUCCUCCAAAUUUGCUUGGCCAACCUUCCACAUUCAACCUACUUCAUGUUCUUUGAAUAAAAUUCAAAUUUAAUAUGAUCAUGCAUGAAUAUAACUUAAACAUGAAACACUUUAAAUGCAUGAAAUGCAGCAAUUGAACAUGAAAACUCCCUUUUUGUCUUAAUAUAAACACCCUUGCAAUUGAGAUCAUUUGCAUGAACUCUUGCCAUUGCCUCCUACAAAACACACAAACAUUAAUCGAAGAACUAAAACUUACUAAAAACAAGCCAACAUGAAGAAAAGUAAAGUUGAAAAGUGAUCCAAGCCUUCGUUUUUAAAAGGAUCCGAGGUCGUAUCAUUGUGCUCAGAAAACGCGGCUCAAGAAAACGCGCCUCAAGGUGCGUUUUGUGAAGUCGCGUUUCUUCACCAAAUUUGCAGCAUUGAAAACGCGACUACGUGAGAAAACGCGACUUUAAGUCGCGUAUUUGAAGGCGCGUUUUUGGUUUCUGAACAGGCUGAAAAACGCGACUGGGUAGAAAACGCGACUUCCUGUCGCGUUUUGAAGGCGCGUUUUCUUAAUUAUAGGAGCAGAUUUGAAAACGCGAUUCUAUGAAAACGCGAUUCAGUGGCGCGUUUCAUUGAAAAACGCGUUUUCUGCUGCAAAAUUUAGCAGAAAUUCAACUUUUGAAUAUUUACAAAUGAUACCCCAAUUUCCCAAAAUGCAUCAUAGAUCAUUUCUAUGUCAAAAUAAAUCAUUCACGCAUAUGUAAAAUGAUCUAUACAUGCAUUCUAAACCUCUUUAAUGCAUCAAAAACCACAAUUACUGAAUUUGAGGUAUUGAGAUCUUUGAUCAAAUUUCGCCUUUUUUGCCUCAUUUGGUCACUUUUCCAAAACCUACAAAUGAAAAAUAACAAAAUUACUCAAACUUAUACUUUAAACAUAAAAUCACUCCAAAGUAACAGCAACUUAAAAAAAAAAUUGGGUUGCCUCCCAAAAGCGCCUUUCUUUAACGUCUUUGGCUAGACGGAGUCCAGAAUUUGCUUAAACUAAGCAAAUCGGGUCUUCCAGUUGCAUCAUCUCCACCCGUUCAAUUGGAAAUCUUUCAUAAUACGGCUUGUGACGAUGACCAUUCACCACAAAUUUCUUCUCCGUUUUCAAACUUUGGAUCUCUACUGCACCAUAAUGAAAGACAUUAGUCACAACAAAAGGGCCAAUCCAACGAGAACGUAAUUUACCUGAAAAUAGUUUCAAUUUGGAGUGGUAUAGCAAAACUUUUUGCCCGCAGACGAAUGUCUUCCUAGAGAUCUGUUGGUCAUGAAAGAUCCGAUUCUUCUCCUUAUAGAUCACUGCAUUCUCGUAUGCUUCAUUUCGAAUUUCUUCCAACUCUAGUAAUUGUAACUUUCUUUGAAUUCCGCCUUCCUCGAUAUCCAUGUUGCAUUGUUUGACCGCCCAAAAUGCUCUAUGCUCAAACUCGACCGGGAGAUGACAUGGCUUUCCAAAUACCAAUCGGUAAGGGGACAUGCCAAUGGGUGUCUUGUAUGCCGUCCUAUAUGCCCAUAGUGCAUCAUCUAGUCUCACACUCCAAUCCUUCCUAUCGGGUCGGACCAUCUUUUCUAGAAUUGAUUUGAUCUCUCGGUUUGAUGCUUCCGCCUGACCAUUUGUUUGAGGAUGGUAGGAUGUAGAGAUUUUGUGCAAGACACCAUAUCUCCUAAAAAUUGCAGCGAUCGUUUUGUUGCAGAAAUGAGUACCCCGAUCACUUACAAUUGCUCGCGGCAUCCCAAAGCGAACAAAAAUAUUAGACUUAACAAAUUCUGCAACCACUUUGGAAUCAUUAGUGCGGGUAGCCUUUGCUUCUACCCACUUCGAAACAUAAUCUACAGCAAGCAAUAUAUACAAAAAACCAAAGGACGAAGGAAAAGGACCCAUAAAAUCAAUGCCCCAAACGUCAAAAAUUUCAACAAAAAUCAUUGGGGUUUGAGUCAUUUGAUCCCUACGAGAGAUAUUACCCACUCUUUGACACUUAUCACAUGACUUACAAAAUGAGUAGGCAUCCUUGAAUAGAGUUGGCCAAUAGAAUCCACUCUCUAGCACCUUACGAGCCGUUCUCUUUGGUCCAAAGUGACCUCCACAUGCAAAAGAGUGACAAUAGGCUAGAAUAGAUUGAAAUUCAACUUCACUUACACAUCUACGGAUGAUUUGAUCGGCACCCCGCUUCCAGAGGUAAGGAUCAUCCCAAAUGUAGAACUUUGCAUCGCUCCUCAACUUGUCUCUCUUUGCCUUAGGCCAUCCUGUAGGAAAUUUGUCAGUAACUAGAAAAUUAACAAUAUCUGCAUACCAAGGUAAAGAUGAGUUAAUAGAAAAUAAAUGCUCCUCGGGGAAUGCUUCUCUCAAUGGGAUGUCAUCUUCGACGACUUGUACUCGACUCAAGUGAUCUGCUACCAGAUUCUCCGCCCCUUUCUUAUCUCGGAUCUCCAGGUCGAACUCCUGUAGCAAUAAUAUCCACCGUAUCAAUCGCGGUUUUGCCUCUUUUUUUGUCAACAAAUACCGCAAAGCUGCAUGAUCAGAAAAAAUAAUAACUUUAGCACCAAGUAAAUAAGACCGAAAUUUUUCUAAGGCAAAAACAACUGCUAAAAGCUCUUUUUCGGUGGUUGAAUAGUUCAAUUGAGCUCCGUUCAAGGCUCGAGAUGCGUAGUAGAUAGCAUGAGCUGCCUUUCCUACUCUUUGACCCAAUACCGCACCCACUGCAUAGUCGCUGGCGUCACACAUGAUCUCGAAUGGGAGGUUCCAGUCAGGGGGUUGGAUAAUAGGUGAGGUGGUCAAUAACUCCUUUAACUUAUUGAAUGCCCCCUUACAUGUUUCAUCAAAUUCGAAGGAUACAUCUUUUUGCAAAAGUUGGAACAAGGGUGCUCCAAUUUUCGAGAAGUCCUUGAUGAACCUUCUAUAGAAACCUGCGUGACCCAAGAAGGAACGAACUUCCCGCACACUCGCGGGGUAAGGUAAAGUAGAUAUAACAUCUAUUUUUGCCUUAUCAACCUCAAUACCUGUAGAUGAUACAACAUGACCCAAAACUAUCCCGUGUUCAACCAUAAAAUGACAUUUUUCCCAAUUAAGCACGAGAUUAGUUUCUAUACACCUUACUAAGAUCAAUUUCAGGUUAUCUAGACAGUUUUCAAAACUUUCACCAUAUACACUGAAAUCGUCCAUGAAAACCUCAAUAAUUUUCUCAACAUAUUCUGAAAAAAUACUUACCAUGCAUCUUUGGAAGGUAGCAGGUGCAUUGCACAAUCCAAAUGGCAUCCUUCGGUAUGCAAAUGUCCCAAAUGGGCAGGUGAAAGUAGUCUUCUCUUGAUCUUCGGGUGCGAUGGCAAUUUGAAAAUAACCUGAAAAUCCAUCCAAGAAACAAUAGUAAGCUCGACAUGCUAAUCGCUCCACCAUCUGAUCAAUGAAAGGGAGGGGAAAAUGGUCCUUUUUCGUGACGGCAUUUAGCUUUCGGUAAUCGAUACACUGUCGCCAUCCGGUGGGCUUUCGAAUUGGUACGAGCUCACCCUCUUGGUUUGAUUCCACUGUCACCCCUGCCUUCUUCGGGACCACCUGUACUGGACUUACCCACGGGCUAUCUGAUAUUGCAAAUAUAAUUCCAACGUCCAGCAGUUUUAAAAUCUCUUUCUUUACGACCUCCAUCAUGAGAGGAUUUAAUCUCCGUUGAGCUUGCCGUACGGGUUUAGCAUUCUCCUCGAGUUGAAUUCGGUGCAUACACACCGCAGGGCUAAUUCCCUUGAUGUCGGCGAUGGUCCAUCCUAUCGCCUGCUUAUGUUCCCUAAGAACUCGAAGUAGUUUCUCUUCUUGAACCUUUGAUAAACCCGCGGAGAUGAUCACUGGAAGUGUCUCCCCUUCACCUAAGUAUACAUACUUUAGGUGUUUCGGCAGUGGUUUUAGUUCCAAGACAGGUGCCUGCACCACAGAUGGAAGUAACCUUUGGUGAGGUUCGGGUAUGAAAAUCGGUACAAGAUCAUACCUUGUUUUCGUGGUUGGUAAUGUUUGCAACGAUCCAAUCACGCAUUUAAGCUCUUCACUCAACUCUACCCUAGAGGUCGUUUCGGACUCAAAGUGCCUGGUCAGGACGACCUCUAGUUCAUCCCUGCCUUCAAUUUCAAAAACCUCCUGUAUAGCAUGGUCAAUAACAUUUAUCGAGAAAACAGAGCCAAUAUUUGAAUCGGAUGGAUAUUUCAUGGUCUCAAAGAUGUUAAAGUGAACAAUCUCACCAUCAAAUUCCAUAGACAAAGUACCCUUAUUAACAUCAAUUUUGGUUCGGGCUGUGCUCAAAAAGGGUCUACCUAACAACAAAGGUGACGGAUCACGGAAGUGUUCAUCCUCCAUGUCGAGCACAUAAAAAUCAGCUGGAAAAACCAAUUCGUUAAUUUUUACCAAAACAUCUUCAAUCAACCCGUCAGGGUAUGCAUUGGUCCUGUCAGCUAAUUGGAUUAUUAUCCCAGUCUCUUUCAAAGGGCCUAAGUUUAAGGAAGCAUAAAUGGACUUUGGCAUGACAUUAAUUGAGGCUCCCAGGUCUAACAUGGCCUUUCCAAUCAAAGUAUUACCUAUCCUACAAGGAAUAGUAAACAUACCUGGAUCUCCGCAUUUUGGUGGAAGUUUCCUUUGUAGAAUUGCUGAAACAUUCUCCCCAACUAUAACUCGUUCAUCCCCCUUCAACCGCUUGCGGUUGGCACACAGGUCCCUCAAAAAUUUUGCGUACCUGGGUACUUGUUUAAUCGCAUCCAGCAGGGGUAUGUUGAUCUCCACCUUGCGAAAGAUCUCCAAGACCUCUUUUUCCUUGUCUUGCUUCUUUGGUUUCUCUAACCUGCUAGGAAAGGGAGGUGGAUUAGUUUUAGUUGUAGGAAUUGGGUUCGAGGGUACCUUUGCAUUUUUGUUGUCUGUGCCCUCCUCUUCCAAUUCUUUCUCAAUCCGUUCCUCGUCCUUGUCUUUAGGAAUCACCGGUUCGGGUCCUUGAACUUCCUUGCCACUCCUUAAGGUCAUUGCGCUUACAUUCUUUGGAUUUGCCUCAGGUUGAGAUGGCAACUUUCCUUGAACUUGGGACUCCAACCGGUUGAUUGUUAUAGCCAUUUGAUUCAUUUGAUUUUGCAAUGAUUGCACCUGUCCCAGUUGAUUCCUCAUACUUUGCAAGUCUGAAUCCGUCUUUUGUUGAUUAGCAAGUAAUUGCUUCAUCAUCUCUUCCAUGGACGGACUUGAGUUUGAAAGUGGUGGUGGUGGUGGUGGGCGAUGAUGGUACUGCUGUUGGUGUCCUUGCUGUCUAUUUGGCACAAAGUUAGACUGCCUAUUUCCUCCAUAACUAAGGUUGGGGUGAUCCCUCCAACCAGGAUUGUAGGUACUUGAGUAUGGGUCGUACGGCUUUCUUGGCGCGGGCGCGUGGCCAGCCAUGUUCACCUGUUCAGCAGUUUCUUCUUGAACCAAUGGACACAUUUCGGUAGGAUGACCCACGGCAGUGCAUACCCCGCACACUUUGGCUUGCGAUGUAUUCCCCACAGCUAGUUGUCGUACAAAAGAUGUCAAUUCGGAGAGUUGCUGUUGAAUAGAGGAUGUUUCUACCUCAUUCACCCUACGCGUCGGGAUGUCCUCUCUUGAACCAAACUGCUGUGAGUUCUCAGCCAUCCCUUCAAUCAACUCCCAGGCUCCUCGAGGAGUCUUGUUCACCAAUGCCCCUCCACUUGCAGCAUCGAUUAUGCUUCUGUCCCUGAAAAGCAACCCCUCAUAGAAAUAUUGAAUGAGCAGUUGCUCACUUAUCUGAUGCUGAGGGCAUUUGGUGCACAGUUUCUUAAACCUCUCCCAGUACUCAUAGAGUGACUCGCCUGGGUGUUGUUUAAUGCCACAUAUCUCCUUCCUUAGGCUCGCAGCUCGAGACGCAGGAAAGUACUUGUCCAAGAAUUUUUUCUUUAGUUGGUCCCACGUGGUGAUACUACCAGGCGGUAGGUAGUAGAGCCAGUCUUUUGCGGAAUCCUUCAAAGAGAAGGGGAAGGCCCUCAUCUUUAUUUGCUCUUCAGUAAUUCCCGGAGGCUUCAUACUGUUGCAAACGACGUCAAACUCUUGCAAGUGCUUGUAGGGCUCCUCACCUGGUAGACCAUGAAAAGAUGGCAAGAGAUGAAUUAGACCAGAUUUUAGUUCAAAGGGAGUGUCAUCAUUUAAAUGUGGAAAAGUAAUGCACAAGGGCUGCUGAUUUAAAUCUGGAGCAGCCAACUCCCUUAGUGUUCGUGCAUUUGCCAUAGUGACUUCCUCUUGGUCUGAAUCACUUGAAUUGUCACCAGACAAAUUUGUCGGCUCAACCUCUGGAUCAAGUCCCUGAGGUGCAAUAUCGUAUUGCUCCUCCCUGAGCCGCCUGGUUUCUUUCCUCGUUCUACGCGCGGUCUUCUCUACUUCAGGGUCGAAAAUUAAUUCGCCUGUACGAGAAGAGCGAGGCAUAAACUAGAAAAAUAACAGAAAAAAAUGAACUUAAAAAGAAACAAAUGAUUAACGCCAGUCCCCGGCAACGGCGCCAAAAAUUGACAGGUGUCGAGCCUGUGCAAUAAUAAAUACCUACUCGAGAAAAAUGAAUUUUCUGUGUAUAGUAGUGAGUAGGGUCGAAUCCACAGGGACUGGGAAAAAUUUGAUUCCUUUCAAGUUCGGGACACGGGGGAUUUUUAUCGGAAAUAAACUAAAAAUAAUUAAACAAUUUAACUAAAAAUAAUUAAAUAAUUUAACCAAAAAUAAAUAAUUAAUUAAUACAAUUGUAAAUAGCAAUUAGAUAAAUGAUAAAUAAAUUCUAGCCAAGGAUACAACUACGCAGACACAGUCCAUUCAUCCGAUCAUUGAUGCAAAGAAGGUUCACUUAAUUUUAUUAAUAGGCUAGUUAUAGUCGCCGAUAAACUCUAACGACCAGCUUUUCCUUAAUUUAUUGAUAACCAAGGUACGAUCGUUGAUUACUUCUAACCAGGAAAUACUCCUAGGUACGACCGUAGGAAUUAAUUUCCUAAUUGCAUUAAAAACUAGAAAAGCCUAACCCAAAUUAAUAACACGCUACGAGGGUUAUUUAAAUCAGAUUGCAUGUUCUCCUAGUAUGUGAAAAUACUAGUUGUCACUAAUAUUAACCAACUAAACAAUUACGGAUUUAAUUGAUUAAUUUGACAGGAGAUUAAUAAGUCAAAUUGCACAUCGGGCCCUUGAUAUCCAAUUAACAAAAUAAUCCCAUGGAAAUUAAAAUAGAAAACAUGCAAAUAUUAACAAAUUAAGGAACACGUAAAAUUAAUUAGAUCUCACAGAUAUUUGGGAUUGCGUCUUCGCGUUGAUCCUUGACUAGAGGAGAAAAUUAGCCACGCCUCAUAAGAAAAUUCCCACGCAAUUUAAUUGAACUCAAAGACAUUUAUCUCUUACUAAUAAUUAAAAAUAAGGAUUAUAUUCUCUGUAGUCUAAUACAAUAAAAAUAGUCUCAUGGAAGAGACGGAAGAAAACAAGACACGCAAGAAAUCUUCACCCCAAAACUAAAAACUCCUCUUUCCAGACGGAAGAGAAGAAGAAAAACUGAGCUGCGGAAAUGUGCGACUCUCCCACAUAUAAAAACAAGCCAAUUCGAAACUUCACUCCACGCUUACAAAAGAAAACAUUCCUUCCCUACCUAAUCAACUCCACCGAAAACAAAAGCAAAGCCAACUAUGGUUUGUCGGUUUCCUUUGACCAAGUGCACACGUUCACAAAUAAGAAAGCAAACCAAAAAUGUGUCUUUACACAAUGAUCAAGUCUUCGCGGUCCCCACCUAAUUGAGAUGUUGGCCAGCCAAAUGCAAUUCAAUUCCUUUUCAUCAUAGAAAGAAAAGGACGUUGGUUUACACCAUGCAUAUGGGCCAAUUGUAUAGAGUUUCACAAUAAUCUUCUCAAGAAGGUUUCUGCUCCACUUUCUGAAAGUAUAUCCAAAUAUCAAAUAUAAAUAUAUAUUGACAAUUAAAGCAAUAUUUGGCAAGGAUAAAGAGGAGAAUUAACAAUAAAAUUACUAACAAUUAACACCCUAUCAGGGGACAAUAUAACCUCGACAUCAGAAAAUCUUUUACCUUGGUAUGAAUGCACAACCGGUGACAGUUGCCUGGCUCAUUAAAGGUGAAAAGCUCUUCAGACCCAUGUAAUACGCAAAGAAACUUUUCUUCUUUGGCUUUCGCCACACAAAAUUCAACUAACAAAUCAUGAAUGCUACAAGUUUUAACCCUAGUAAAGGAUCUCUUUUCCGCAACCAUGACCAAGCUUCUAUUAAUCAGAUCCAUCAUGUAUGCCUCUGCCACCUCCUCUAAGCUCCUUGACCCACUUUUUUGCACAAAAUUUUCAGCGAUCCAUAAGCUUGUCAACUUCCAAACAGGAACUUCUUGGACCUUUGGAAAUGCUGCAAAGUAGAGAAAGCAUGGUUUCAAGUAAUCAGGUAAGUUUUUGUAACUUAGCUCCAAGGCAUCCAUGCACUCUUUUGUACCACAAACAGUGUUUGAACCUAACCUUGUUGCAACUUCUUCCCAACCAUCUUGGUUUGUUGUUGCAAGAAUUCCAGCAAUGAUGACAAUUAUGAGAGGUAAUCCAUUGCAAUUUUUUGCUAUUUUCUGCCCAAGAAUGACAAGCCCUGGAGGAAACUCUGCAUUGCGACAUAUCUUCUUUUGUAAUAAUUCCCAACUCUCAUCGUAAGCGAGCUGGCGAAGAGGGUGUAGUUUACUAUCAGUUUUAACUUCUUCAGCCACCUUAUGAAGUCGACUUGUUAACAGAAUUCUACUUCCAUUUUUAUCAUCUGGGAAUGAUAUAUGCAAGCCAUUCCAUGCCUCAAUGUCCCAAAUGUCAUCCAAAACUAUGAGAUAUCUAUUCUUCUUCAAAGAUUGGAACAGCUCCAGGGCCAAAUCAUCUUCAUCCUUCCCAGAAUAUUGAGCCGUCUGUACAAUACAACCCAGAAUCUCAAGUAACAAGUUUUUCAUGCAAUAUGCUUGAGAAACAUGACACCAUGCUUGAACAUGAAAGUGACGUCUAAUUCUGGGAUCAUUAUAGAUUUUUUUGGCUAAAGUUGUCUUACCAAGCCCAGGCAUUCCCAAGAUCGAGACCAUGUCCAGCUUCAUCGAUCCUCGAGUAAGUUGAUUGACUAUUGUUUCUGUCUCAUCGUGCAAGCCAACUAUAACUUCGUCAAUUGUUUGGAUACUACCUUGUGGCGGCUCAUGACUUAGCACCUUGGCAUCUUUUACAGCUACAAAACCAUAAUUACUAUUAUCUGUGAAACCAACUUUGUUGAUUCUUGGAGAGUUCAGUAUUGAUGUUGCAGGGUGCUUAUUUAGAAUUCCUGUUUUAAGAAGUUUAACUUUUCCCAGCAAAUUGAAAAGGGAAUGAUCCACUUCCUUGGCCAAGACUGACUUCAGAUUGCUCAGAAAAAGAGAGCAAACUACUACACCUGCAUCACUAACCACAACCGGAACAAGAUCCUUUAGAUUUUCAUCUAGGUCAUUGAGCUUCUCCUGCUGCUUCAUGAGAAUGGUUCUCAGGAAUCUCAAAUGCUCAUAGAGUACCUGCAGUUGAUCCUUCAGAGAAAUCAUGACACUAGUACGGCAAUGAAGUAUCUCAAAAAGAUUAACCAGGUGAGAAUCAACAAACUGCCCCAAUAUAUGCAGAUCCUUCUCUGAAGGCUGAGUGUUAGAUGAUUCUGAUGAAGUUGAAGCUAUCAGGAGUUGGACAUAAAUCUCAAGAACUCCAAGAUCAUCAGCCUUAAUCUUCUGUAGCAAUUCAGGAAUCAACUGACUAUCAGCUUUGACUUGGGGAUCAUCAGCUCUGAUCUCCUGUAGUUCUACAAAUAUCAAGAACAUUUUAUCCUUUCUAUCAAACCAAUACAUGCAAGUAGCCAAUGCUGCUCUCAAAGCAAGUACUUCAAAUUGAGUCGAGAGAUUUUCCAAUUGCCCAUGCCUAACACCUCGCCAUGUGACAUAGAGGAUAAAAUUUCUAAAGAACAUCAGCCUCUCUUCAAGGGCUUCAAUAAAUUCUGGAAAGACUUUAUCAUAAGCUCUUACCAUAUAAAAAGCUUGAUCAUAAGGCUUGCUCCAUUUGAGAUCCUCCAGAUUUUUAAGCAGUGAGUCAAUGGUCUCCAUAAGUUCACCUCUUGCAGGAGAACUGGAACGCACGGGGCAAUCCACCAGAGUGGAAUACAAUUCUUUGAUUUCUUCCUUGAAUGAACCGAUGAUUUUUCGGAAUUCAGAGACUACUUUCUCCAAGUCACUCGAUGAGAACUCUUCCCCUGAUAUUUGCAGGAAUUUCUGAAGAGCAUCUUGAAGUCUAGCCAAGGAAGAUCUCAGACUUACAUGCUUAUUAUCAUCAGAUUCCAAACAGACAUCUUUUCCACAUUUUCUCGAACAGAGAAAGAGUGUUCUCAGAAGUCUUAACUCCAACUUCAGCAUCCCCAACUCAUCCCUCUUUUUCACUAAAUAUUUAUCCAGCAACUCGAGAUUAUGCAAGAUUGCAUCGAUACAAGCGGAACCCAUCUCAGGAGAAUUUGAAUAAACUUCAAACUUGGAACUAAAUGAAAUGAAAUCUUAACUCUGGAACUUGAAGCGAUUCUCCUCUCUCCCUCUCAAGUUUUGGGUCAACCCUUUCAUUUACAAAUGAAAAAGACAGCGGGAUUAGGCCAACAUCCACACAUUCCGCGGUUGAAAAUGAACAGGUCAACUGUUAUCCUACUGAUUCCGCCGUAGCUAAAUUUACAGUAUUGUAGGUCUAUUUUUAUCUGUAACCAUUUUGGGGUGGGGGUACAAAAAAGGAUCUGUAGUUAAAAUUAAUCCAUAGGCUCGUUUGAAAAUCGGGAAAUUUUGGUUGGAAGACAGGGGGAGAAAGAAAUGGGAGUGAAAUGAGGUGACAGAUAAAAGGAAAUUGAAAGACAUUUCCCGCUCAAGUUCGGUAAUUCCGUUAAACAGGAAAACUUGAGAAUAGGAAAUAUUUGAAUAAUUUAAAGAGGAUAUAAAGUUUGGGAAGCUAUGGACAUGUGGAACAAAGUUACUAUUCAAAAUAUUAGGAAACUAUCAAUUAUAGUUUUCUCUUCACCUAAAAUAUGUUUAUAAGAGAAGUUUAAGGUAAAAUAUUAUAUGUAAAAUAUUAGCUAAACUGUACGCGUCACGUGACAACACAUUAAUAUCAAUCAAAAGUCACCAACUAACGUCAUAGGUCAUUCUACUAAAUAAGAAAUUGAUCACCAUUAUUAUUUAGUGAUAUAUGAUUGUUAUUAGUGUAUCACGUGACAUAGCACAUAACAUAUGGCUUCGAGAGUUGAAAUAUGCCUUAAACAAUCAGGCACCUGAAUCAGCUGCAUACAGUUCUGCACUACUAAUUUCUGAAGAAAGGGAAACUGAUCGUCUGGACCUGUCCACCUGACAAUGUCCAGUAAUUCCAAUACCAAGAUUCUAAGUUUAGGGAAAUCCCCUUCUUUCAUUUCCCAAACUUCUCCCCCAUGAUCUCCUCGUAGUUUGAGAACCUCAAGGUUGGGUAGCUUUCCUACCGGGGGGAAUUGCACUCCAGGAAAAGCUCGAUAGAGUUAACUUUUUUAGGUUCAAGGGAAAACAAAACUCGCAAUGGUUCUCUUUCAUAUCAUACAGAGAAAGUUUUAGUGAUUCUAAUCUGACUCAAAAAGUCCAGGUCCACAAUCUUAUUGCAAUCUUCCAUGGUUCCUUGGCUUCAGAGACUCUGCAUUUUAGUCUUUGGAUUUUUGGAAAUUUUCUCAUUAUUGUUUCCAUCUGUUGUCCAACAUACAGAAUUGGAGUGAAAAAGGUGUCUAUAUUCUUCAGAUCAUGGGAGUUUUCAAGAUUCUCUCCGGCCAAAGUAAGGUGUAAAAAGCCACCACUUAUGUGGAGAUGCCUCAAUUUCGUCACAUUCCAGAUGGUAUCUGGCAAGGAAACAGAACAAUAAUAUACUUCCAACAGGAAAGUUUCCAAGUUUGAUAGGUUCGCUAUUGAUGAUGGGAUGGAUUGCAUUGCACCUAGAACUGCCAGAUAUCUCAAGUGAACAAGCAAUUCAAUCUCGGUAAAAAGUCACCUAGAUGAACUUGCUGUAGAUCCAAAACUUUAAGAAGUUUGAAGAUGCGAAAAAUGAAUGAGAUAUUACACCGAUUAAGAGGGUACCCAUCGUCACAAGUAAAGAACAGUAGGCUGCGUAGUUGGCUACAAAAUGGCCUCGACUUCUCAAGAUGCUCUCCUUCAGAAUAAGUGCACAACCUGCGUAUAUUGUGUGGCUCAUCAAAUGUAAGAAGCUCAUCAUAUCCAUGCAAAAAUUGCAGGAAAUUUUCCUCUUUCGCUUUUGCCAAACAAAACUCAUGUAACAAAUCAUGAAUGUGGCAAGUUUUGACCCCUCCUGUGGAGCUGCGUUUUGCCAACAUAACCAAGCUUUUGCCAAUUAGACCCAUCACGUAAUCCUCUGCUAUGUCCUUUAAGCUCCUUCCCUCUGAUUUUUGCACAAAUCCUUCCGCGAUCCAUAACCACAUCAACCUCCAAAUAGGAAUUUCUUGGUCUUUUAAAUAUGCUCCAAAUUAGAGAAAGCAUGGCUUCAAACAAUCAGGUAGAUAUCUGUAGCUCAUCUCUAAUAUGUUCAUGCAGCGCUCUGUGCCACAAACAAUAUCAGAACUUAGCCCUUCUGCAACUGCUUCCCAACCAUCUUCCUCCAUAGUUGCAAGAAUCCCAGCUAUGAUGACAACUGAUAGAGGUAGCCCAUUACAAUUCUUAGCUAUUUGGAUUCCAAGAUCACAUAGUUCUUGUGGAAAAGCUUUUCCAGGAAAUAGCUUCUUUCACAAUAGUUCCCAGCUCUCAUCAUAACUAAGUUGGCGAAGAGGGUAAGGUCUACCAUCGGGUUUAAUCUGCAAAGCCACCUCUUGAAGUCGACUUGUCAAGAGUACUAGCAUCAUUGGUGAAUGACCUUUCCAACCCAUUCCUUGCAUCUAUAUCCCAAACAUCAUCCAAAAUGAUGAGAUGCCUAUUUCCUUUCAAACAUCUGUAGAGUUUUUCCACCAAACCAUCUUCAUUCAUUGCAAAAUAUUCAUGACAAAGCUUCGGAACAAUACAAUCCAGAAUCUCGAGAAAUAUAUCUUUCGUACGAUACUUGAGAAAUGCAACACCAUACUUCUUACCAUCAUAAAUCUUCAAGGCUUCAGUCUUAAUAUGUUUGAUUUCUUCUCUAAGGCUACUAAGUAACAUAGCAGAAGAAUAAGUAGUGUCUCCAACCAGUAACGAGUCAAUGACAAACUCAAGCCUUGUGUCCCACCUCUGUAACAGGAUUCCAAAGAGCUUGAAGCUUUUCAUCCAGGCUGCACUGCUCCACAAUACUCUCCAGUAAAGAUCUUAGAAAUACAAGAUCUUCCUGCACUGUUUGAAUCUGAUCCUUUGCAAAAGCAAUUGAUUCAACCUUGCAGCUUAGUAGUUCCUUCAUAUUUUCAAGGAGAUAAUCGUCAAAGCCCGGCUCAUUUGUCUUGGAAAGUCAAAUUCUGACGUUAAUGGGCACUUGUCUGCAAUUUUGGGCGUCAAAAGCGUAACUAUUUCGAGCCAAGCAAAGAGCACAAGCUCCAUUUCCACGGCUGACCCUUGUUCCAAUUCAUGAGUAAAAAGCCAGCAAGUUAUAGUACCAGCACUAUUUACAAAAAAUUAUCAUACAAGUAUGCUCUCAAACGCUAGAAAUAAGUAUUUAUUAAGUACUUUUUGUAACAAUUCUAUUAAACAAAGUACUUUAUUAUAAAUUACCGCAAUCCUGAAUUGGCUCUAAAUAUGCAAGAGGAAUCUGGGAAUUUGGGAAGCAUAACUGAAAAAGGGUUGAAAAUUAUGGCAAAAUGUAAUGAAAAUUAAUCAUCACGAAAUUGAUUCUACGUUUUGUGUAAUUAUUUUUAUACUUGAUAAACUUUGUACAUCUGGUCAAAUUCUGCCACAAUGAAGAAAUAAUGAAGGAAUUGCGUCUGAAUCACAUUUUUUUAUGGAUGGUUUUCUUUUUCUUUUUUCUUUUUUUUUUUCAAUUUGUGGUAACUUUUUGGUAUCUCAUUUACAAUUCAAAGUUGCAACCUAAAAGGAUAACUUUUAUGUUCUAAAUUGUGUCACCCUAAAUGGUAAAGUUAUAAACUUUUUUUUUUUCUUAUCUUCACUUUAUCCUUGUGGUAAAACGUAUUGGGAUACUUGGUCAAAAACUUUGGCAAGUUUAAUUAGCAACUCACUAUUGCUUUGGAAAUGCUUUUUCUCUAAUGUUUGGUCUCAUUGUUUUUGCUUCAAAUUACCCCUUUUUUUAUUCAAUUUUUUGCCUUUCAUAUGAGCACUUCCUAGUUUGAUCAAUUCCAAAAAUUUCGCUCUGCAACUUUAGUCCAUCUGCUGGAGAAAUGAACUUCAAAAUAUAGACAGAUGAAGGAGAAAAUUGUGGUGCAGACAAAGAAAUCCAGACAAACAUGAAGAGAAAUUGUUGGAGCAAAUGAGGAAAGGUCACCAGAAAUAGCAAUUUCAAAACUUCAUUGUCAAACCACUAGCAAUAGAAGAAUUCAACUGUGGCUGCACUUUCAUUACAGAAGGCAGUGAAAACAAAUUCAAAGUAUCAGAAGUAGCAAGAAAAUGAAGAAAAACAAAGAGUGUCCUAAGCUGAAACCAUUGCCAGGUGCUGAAGUGAAACACAGAAGCUAAUAGAUGAUAACAGAUGAAACACUCAGCAAUAUUCUUUAUUCACAAAAAUCCACUACAGUCAUGCAUUUAUUAGUACAAAGCAUCCUUCUUCAAACAAGAACUAAACUUGGUAACAGGUGGUCAUCACAACUUCAUUUAUUAAUUAGUACAUUGAUUUCAUAUCCAAAUCUCUGUCAACAAUGAAAAACAUAAAUAGAUUCAACCACUUGACAUGUUAUGCGACAUGUGAGGGCGAAUUCUUGCUUCUGAACAGAACAUCCAUGGUCUCGUAUCACUGGAAGAUAAAGAUCUUGAAAUCAUAAUUUCCUGAGCUGUUCUGUUCCUCCUCAAUCUUCAAAAGUAAACUUCUAUCCAAGACUGGGCAGUCACGCACCUCAAUCAUUCCUAGAUGUUCAAUAACCUCUAAGCAAGAAGGGAUCUCUUCUAGUUUGCGACAUUCCUGCAGCACUAAUUUCUCAAGACAGGGGAAAUGAUCGCUCGUGCUGGUCCAUCUCACAAUGUCCAAGGAGCCUAACUUCAAGAAUCUGAGUUUUGGGAGUUCCCAUUCUUCUUCCAUGUCCCAAGUAUUCUCCUCACAGUGGAUGGAAAGUAGUUUGAGUACCUCAAGAUUGGGUAGAUCUCUCAGUUCUGGAAUUAUACUCGAAUGCAAGUAUGACAGAGACAGCUUCCUUAGGUUCGAGGGAAAAUGAAGCUCGCUAUGAUACUUUACUCUUCCAAAUGAUGAGGACAGGUGGAGUGAUUGUAGUCGACUCAAAAACUGCACUGCCACGGUCCUGUUGCAAUCCCCAGUAGAUUUCCCUGAUUCAAAGAGUGUGCAUUUUAGUCUGCGGAUGUUUGGCAACUUCCUCAGUAUCUUUUCAAUGCUUUGCCCAGAAGAAAGGCUAAGCACAGAAAAGGUCUCUAAAUUGUGUAAGACAGAGGACAUUUCAAGGUUUUCUGUGGCCAAACUAGACCCAAGCAAGCUAAAACCACCAUGCAGAUGUCUUAAUUUCUGCAUAUUCCAGAUAGUAUCUGGCAAUACAGCUGUACUAUGACUUUUGACAAGAAGAGUUUCUAAAUUUGAGAGGUUGGAUAUUGAUGAUGGGAUCGAAUCGAAUUCACCCUGAGCUGCCAAGUACCUCAACUCAACAAGCAAUAGCGUUUCACUUGGAAAGCAAAAUCCUAGACGGAUUUGCUCCAAAUUCAACACAUUAAGAAGUUUGAAGAUGCACAGAUUGAAUAAGAGACGACAAUGCUUCGGUCCAUACGCAUUAUCAAGAGGAAAGAAUAGUAUAGAACGUACACUGGGACAAAAUAUCCUUGACCUCUCAAAAUGUUCUUGGAGAGAAUACACGCACAACCAUUGCUGAUUACACUGCCCAUUGAAGGUGAGAAGCUCAUCAUACCCACUUACCAAAGACAAAAAUUUCUCCUUUUUCGCUGUUACCACACAAAACUCAUGCAACAGAUCAUGAACACAACAGGCUUUAAUGCCUCCUAAGGAUCUUUCUUUGGAGAUCAUAACCAAGCUUCUGCCAAUCAGAUCAUUGAUGUAGUCCCCGGCCACAUCUUCUAAGCUCUUUCCAUCACUUAGUUGAACAAAUCCUUCGGCGAUCCAUAAUCUCAUCAGCUUCCCAAAAGGAAUCUCCUGGCCUACUGGAAAUGCACCGAAGUAAAGAAAGGAUGGUUUCAGAUAAUCAGGUAAGUUUCUGUAACUCAACUUUAUUAUGUCCAUGCACUGUCCUGUGAUAGAAAGAGUAUUUAAGCUUAGCCUUCCUGCAAUCUCUUCCCAACCAUCCUGCCCUGAAUUUGAAAGAAUUCCAGCUACGGUGACUACUGUGAGGGGUAAUCCCUUACAAUUUUUUGCUAUUUCCCUCCCUAGUUUCUCAUCAUAGCUAUCCCUGCAAGAUAGCCUCUUUUGUAACAGUUCCCAGCUCUCAUCAUCAGUGAGUUGGCGAAGGUAGUGAGACUCACGGUUAGGAUUAAUUUUUUGGCUACUUCAGGAUGUCUACUUGUGAAGAGGAUCCUGCUUCCAUUGGCAUCAUUGGGCAGCGAUCUUUCCAACCCACUCCAUGUGUCAGCAUCCCAGACAUCAUCCAAAACAAUGAGAUACUUAUUUUUCAGUAAACGCCUUUUGAGCUCUUCCUCCAAAUAGACUUCACUCUUGUUCAGAUAUUGAUCAGAAAGUUCAGGAACAAUCCAUCCCAAAAUCUGAAGAACCAAAUCUUUCUUUGUAUAUACUUGAGAAACAAUGCACCAUGCAUGACUAUGAAAUGUGCGUGUAACUGAAGGAUCAUUAAAAACACUUCUGGCCAAAGUAGUCUUACCUAGUCCUGGCAUACCUACAACAGAAAUGAUAUCCAACUGUUUUGAUCCACUUACAAGUUGAUCAAUUAUCUUCUUUGCCUCGUCAUUCAAACUCACCACAGCUUUGUUGAUUGCUGGCGUUCUACCCUGUGCUGGCAAAGAAUUGGAAGACCUGAUAGGUUUUUGGGAUGCCAAGCUACACCUAUUGUCACCAAUCUUCAAGGCCUCCAUCUUAAUAAAAUUAAUUUCUUCUGUGAGUGGACCAAAUAUCGUUGGAGAAUAAUCAGGAUCAUUUCCGACAACUAAGGAUUGAAUCAUAAGUUGUGCUUUGUACGCCACCUCUACAGCAUGACGGGAAAGAGCUUGAAGCUUUUCAUCCUGAUUACGUUCUUCCAGAUUAUUCUCCAACAAGGAUCUCAAGGAUAUAAGAUCAUCUAGUACUGUCUGAAUUUCAUUGCUUGCAAAAACAUUUGAAUCAACCUUACAACCUGGCAAAUCUUUGAGAUUUUGUAGAAAAAAGUUCAUAAAGCCAAGCUCAUCUGUCUUAGGAAAGAUAAGUGCUGAUGUUACUACCUUGAUAAGCUUAAUAUUUCCCAGCAGGUUGACAAGUGCAGAAUCCAUUUCCUUGGCCAAGCCUUCUUUCAAUCCUUGCACAAAUAGUGAGCAAAUUACGAUCCCUGCCUCACUGACAGCAGCUCGAAUGAGAUCCUUAACUUUGUUAGGCAACUUCCCAAAGUACUUCUUGAGAAUGGUUCUCAAGAAUCUGAGCCCCUCAUAGAGAAUUGGCAUUUGAUCCUCCAAAGAAACCACACAAGUAAUACUGUGCGUCAGUCCUUCCCAAAUCCGAUAUAGGAGGGAAUCAACAAAAUCCCCUAGUAUAUGCUCUUCUAUCUCCAAUGUCCGAGCAUGUGGCGAUCCAGAUAGCAAGACUUGGAUGUAUGUCUCACGGAUUUGUGGAUCAACAGCCGCCAUCUUUUGUAGCAGCUCAGAAAAGAUCAACCGCAUUUUAUCAUCCCGUGCUUCUUUAUCAUCAUAUGGGUAAAACACCCACAUGUGGAAGACUCUUGCUGCUGCAUCGAUAGCCACAACUUGUAAACGCAUGAAGAGAACUUCCAACUGCCCAUACUCAAAGCCUCGCCAUUCUGCAAAGCGAAUGAAGUUCUUCAAGAAAGCCACCUUCUCUUUGAGGGCUUCGAGUAAAUCUCGCACAUCUUGGUCAUCAACAUUUACCCAAGUUUGGACAUCCUCUAUAUUCACUAGCAGGAAGUCGAUGAAAUCCAUAAUUUUUGGGCCCCAGCUGGAAUGGUUUUGCAAUGAAUUGUAGUAAUCCAACAAAUUGAUAUAGGAUCGGCUGAUUUCUUGCCUCAAAUUGUAGAUGCAAGUGGUUCUUAUUUCGCCAACCUUGUGAUCAAACUUGGACUUCCAAUCGAAAGUCCCUUCUUCCUCUCCUCCAAGACCAUAAAAGUACUUAUCUUUUCCCUUCAAGAGAUUGAAAGAGGCUUUGCUGCCCAUCCCCAUGAAACCUUGACCAUAGCUGAAUCGUUCUUUUCCCAUAUAAGAACGAUUAUACGAGUACGGUCCCUGUUUCAAGGGGAAGAACUGUUCCUGUUUCAGGCGGAUCAAAUGGGAAUUCAAACCCAGUUUGCGGAAUCUUUCUUCACUAAGACAAUCAUUAUACAAGUCCAGAAUUUUUUUCUCUACUGCAGGUUCAAGGCUAGUCAAGAAAGAUGCCAGAUUAUUGUUGUUACCAGGUUUGGAAUACAGAUCGUAGUUCCACUCUCUUGCACACCAAAAGAGGGUUCUCAGAAGUCUCAACUCCGCCUUCAGGUCCAACACCCUGUUAUAUUGUACACCAAAAUCUUUCACCAGCAACUCUAGAUCACGCAAGACUGUAGCAAUGAUAUCAGAGGCCAUCUCUGUCUCUUUCAGAUCAGAUCCCUCGGCUCUUCAGCAGCAAUAGAGAAAACUGAAAUGAAAACUUGAACAGCUAAAGCUAAUGCUGGCUAUUCCACUCUGCCAAUGGAGUAUUCAGUCAAAUUCCAUAGGAAAAGAGAUAGGUUUUGUGGCAAGUUUCGGCUUUUGCAAUGAACAGAAAUAAUUGUAGUAACUUAAUACUCCCAGAAUGGACAAAGUGGCCGGCUUUCGCAAGUUCCGGUUAUUGCUAAAGAUUCCACACCCGAAAUGGACACCAUAAUAAUGGUGGUAACUAAAAUUUCCCGUUCAUCGAGGGGGCGCCACAUUUUUCAUUUUAAAACAUUUAAAAUAUUUGUCAGGCUGAAAAGAUCAAAAUAUAUUUUAAUUUUAAUUUUUAAUAUAAUCUUUCUUUUUAAUCAUAUCCAUGCUAUUCAUUCAACUUUUAAUUUUAAAUUUAUAAAAAUAAAAUUAAAAAAAAUGUAAACAUCAUAAUUAAAUUAUUAUUUUUAAAAUGUUAAAUUCUUAAAAUAUAACUGAAUAAUCGAAACGGAGGGAGUAAUUGCAAUACUGCACUGCAUCAAUCAAGCUUGACUUUUCUUAAGGUGAUUGGAGCCCUACGUUACUAUUUCUUGAUGCUUUUUUGACAGGUGGAUGGGAGACCAAAUGCUAGAUUUUGGUGGGGUAAGGGAGAAAAGGAAAACGCUGUACACUGGACAAGUUGGAAGAGAAUCUCUGAACUAAAAGGAAAAUGAGGGUUGGGAUUUAGGGAUUUAGUGGCUUUCAACACAGCCCUGCUUGCAAAAAAAAAUUGGAGAUUCAGAACAUUUCCAAAUUUGUUAGCAAGCACGGUAAUGACAGCUAAAUAGUAGCUGUGUUUUCAAAUUCGGAUCGGAUCGGUCGGUCCGACCAGUUGAACCGAGAAUCGGUCAAGUGUUCGGUCCGAGUUGGUCAUCAGAACCGAGAGAUUUAAAACCCGGUCAACUCCGGUCAAAAACCGGGUUUGACCGGUAUAGAACCAGAAAAACCGGUCCAACUGGAGAUUUUGUAAAAAAAGUUUAAAUUUUUUUAAUAUUAUGUUUUAACCCCCUAAAUUGUGAAAACUUAUUAAUAUACCUCAAAUAUUUUAUACUUUAUAAAUAUUGUCCUAAAAUUUGAUGUUAUUUUUCAAUUAAAUCCAUAAUUUUAAUUCUAAACUUGUUAAUGUUUAUUAAAUAAUAUAAAUUGUUACUUGAUUGUUCUAAUUUCUUUGUAUUUUCUUGUUAAAUAUAUUUGAAACAUCAAAUAUAUAUAAAUAUACCUUUAUUAAUAUCAAUAUGUUAUUAGAUAUUUUAUAUACAAUAAUUUAAUUUUUAAAUAAUUUUUAUUUAUGACGUCAUCCGGUUCGACCCCUAUCGACCCCCGGUCGAACCCAUUGACCCCUGACCCCUGACCUCAGCCGAGUCGAUAUCCGGUCCGGUUCUGAAAACAUAGCUAAAUACAUUAGAGAUCCAAGCUGGUUGGAGAAGGAACCCCCAAAGACAGCAUCAUGGUGCUGGAAAAGCAUCCACAGUGCAAGGAAACUACUGCUUGAAGGAUUAUGGAAAAGAAUUGGUGAUGGAACAAAUGUAAACAUUUGGAAGGAUAAGUGGGUAAUGGGAUCAGAAAUGGGUAUAGUGACCACAAAAAGACCUGCAAAUUGUCAUUUAGAAUAUGUAAGUGAUUUGAUAGAGGAUGGCAGAUGGAAAAGGAGACAAUACUGCAACUGUUCUGCGAAAAGAAGGCAGAGCUGAUAGAAAACAUCCCUCUUAGCCUGCACAGAAGGAUGGACAGAUCAUUCUAGAGAUUUUCCAAAACUGGAGUGUAUACCGUCAAAUCUGGAUAUGCAAUGGCUAAAGAGGAGGAAGACCAGCAUAAGAAAACGAAGGGGAUGAAUGCUGAAACUAGUAGGGAGAUUAGGAAGCACAGCGUUUGGAAGAGGCUAUGGGGACUCAACAUAAAGGCAAAAUUGAAGCACUUCAUCUGGAAAUGCCUGCAAAACUGUAUCCUUGUUAUGAGGUGACCUUUAGAAGAAUAGGAAAGCGAGAUGCAAGAUGUGAUUGCUGUGGACAAAAUUUGAAACUAUAGAACAUAUGUUUUUCUUUUGUGCAAAUGCUGAGCUAGUUUGGAAAUUGGCCCCAGUUAAAUGGGGGGACUAAAAGAGCAACAACACUUGUGGAAAUGGUGGGAAAUGGUAAUGCAAGCAAGCUCAAUGGACCAUGGACAAGACAGGAUUAACAUCACAAUCAGCAUAUUAUGGCAAAUCUGGAAAGCUCGGAACAAAAAGGUGUUUGAAAGAAUCAAUCCAAACUCAAACAAAAUUGUGAAGAAGGCACAAGAAGAAUGGAUAGAGUAUGAACUGACAAAGGAAACUGAAAGGGAAGAACCAGGCAAUGCUGCUAUGUCGCAACAACAACAACAAAGCAGGAGAAAAAUAUCAAAGGAAGGAGUGAUCAAGUUGCAUAUUGAUGCAGCAAUAUCUGCAAGAAUGAUAAGAACGAGGCAAGGCAUAAUAGCAAGGAACUGGAUAGGAGAAAUUGUGAAGGCAAAAGGGAUAGUACAUCAAAGAAAGAGUGAAGCCAGCAUGGUGGAAGCACUAGCUAUGAGAAAUGCAUUAGUGAUGGCCAAAGAUGCAGGGUGGACCAAGAUAGAGGUCUACACAGACUGCAAAUCAGUGGUGGAUCAAAUCAACACAUGCAAUGUAAAUAACUACAACAUUGCAACCAUUUUGGAAGAUAUUCAGGAAUUAAGGCAAUGGUUUCAAAGCUGCAGCUUUUCUUUUGUGCAUAGAGCAGAAAAUAGAUGCAGCCAUGAACUAGCUCAAUUUGCAGUACAGUUAGUCCAGGACAUAGAAUAAGAAUGUGAUUUCCCAGUAUUGCUGCUAGAAUUAGCAAGAAAGGAAAUGAGGGCAGUGUCCCCUUUUGUUAUUAAAUUUUGUAAUAUCAAGUUUAAUAUAUAAAAAGCUGUUAAUGUUUGUUGGAAAAAAGAUAGGACCAAAUGCUGUACACUUCUUGCAGAGAAUCAAAUAGUAAACUAUUUUGCUGUCGCUUCACAUAUGCAAAAAUAUAUAUAUACACUAGAGUCAAUGUACAAGAUACACAGGGAUUUGGUCUUUGGUUCUCUUGCGAAUGCCAAGUAACGCCCAUGCAAUAGGGUUGCGAACGAAUCAAGUCAAAUCGAAUUUUGGUCUAAUCAAGUUCAUUCUCGACUUGAUUUUAUCAAACUCGAAUUCGAUCUCGAACUCGACAAGCUCUCAAUAUAAAGUUCGAAUUAGAGAUCGACCUCAAAUUUGAACCGAGUCGAGCUCGAGCUCGAAAUUAAAAAAAUAAAAAAUAAUUAUUUUUUAUUUUUUUUAAAUGGAUAAAAUAGUAAAUUUUCUUAACAAAUAAUAAAAUAUUAGAAAUUUAUAUGUAAUUUCAUUAUUAAAAUAAAAAUAAAUAUGUGUGUGUGUAUGUAUAUAUGUGAUCGAACCGAUUUAUAAGUUGAGUAUCUUUGAACUCAAAUUUAAAUUCGAACUCGACUUGAUCGACUCGAAUUCGGUGUUGACCAGUCGAAUUGAGUUUUAACUCAAACUGCUUCUCGCUCGACUCGUAUGCGGCCCUACUGUGCAAUGGACAAUCCAAGAUCAGGUAAACCAGACUCGACUCAUCUCCACUAUUGAUUUCAAAAUCAGUUGAUUUUAAAAUAACGGAUUCUUUGUGCUUCAAAAAACAGAGGGUUAUCUAAAUGAAAAGAAUAACGGAAGAAGAAAACAGCAAGUAAGUAUUAGAAAUCACAAAAAAUUUUCACAAUGAUACAAAAGUUGAGGAAGGUUAACGUACAUUAUCCUUUUAAUAGUAAAAUUGCAAUUUUACAUAAAGUAUGGAAUCUUGUGUUGCAAUGAUAUUCCAUAUCCGGAUAAAUAAACCGUGCCAUGUCAAAUACACCUCAUGCGAUAUUAUUACUAUUAGGGGAUUUUGAGCACAUCAUUGUGGAGAAAAAAAUGUACAAGUCAUCACUAUCAAAUAUAAGAGCAAAAUACAUGGUAAUCAUGUUGGUUACCUCUACCUAAAUCUGGGCCAACCUAUGAAACUGUCCGUGACGAUCAAAACGUGCAAGUCUUCCUCAAACAAAAAUCUGGAAAUCCUCAUUUCCAGAGUCUUUUUGCUCUUCCUCAAUCUCCCAAACUGAACGUACAGCCGAAUCUGAACAGCCGUGUACAUCAAUCAUUUCAAGAGUUGAAACUUCCCCAAAACAAGAAGGGACUUCUUUCAGUCUCCAGCAUCGAACCAAGACUAGUUUCCGUAGACGCGGGAACUGAUCAGAUGAGCAUUUCCAUCGAAAUAUACGCAACUGUUCCAGUUUCAAGUACUUGAGCCGAGGAAACUCAAAUCCUUCCAUGUCCCAUGUAUCCUGCCGAGAGAUUUCAUGACCUAAUUUGAACACCUCAAGGUUGCAUAGUUUCCCAAUCAUUGGAAUUUCACUCCAAUGGAAAUAUAAGAGACUUAACUUCUUUAGACUGAUCAACGGAAAACGAAACUCAAGAGUGUACCUCCUGCGCUGAUCCAGCAUGAGCUUGAGCGAUUCCAAUUGGCUCAGAAAAUCCAUUGCCACAAUCUUAUUACAAUCUCCAUUAUAUUCCUCAGAUUUGAAGAGCUUGCAUUUUAGUCUGCGGAUGUUUGGGAAUUUUUCUAAUAUCCUUUCGCUUUGUACCGAACUAAGAAACAAAACAGAAAUGCUGUCUAAAUUAUGUAAACUCCCCAGGUUCUCUUCAGCCAAAUUAAAAGUAAAACCAUUUCUUGCGUCUAGUCGCCUCAAUUUCUUCAAAUUCCAUAUAGUAUCUGGCAGUAGGACAUUUCUGUCUGCUUGGACGAUAAAAGUUUCUAAAUAUGAGAGAUUGCCUACUGAUGAAGGGAUGGAAUUGGCUGAAAGAUGAAUUGCCAAGUACCUCAGCUCAGAAAGCAACCCUAUUUUACUUGGAAGUUCACCAUGUAGACAAAAUUGUUCCAAGUCCAAGACUCUCAGACGUUUGAAAAAGACAAAUAGGAAUUUAGGAAAACCACUUCGGACCAUCUCAUCCUCCUGAGCAUAGAACAUCAGAGAGUUCGCACGGGUUGAGCAUAGCCUUGAGUACGCAAAAAUAUCCUGCCCUGAAAAAAUGCAUAACCUUCUCAGAUUGCGUGGCUCAUCAAAGGUGAAAAGCUUAUCAUCUCCAUGUAAAAACUGCAGAAAAUUUUCUUUCUGGGCUUUUACCAAACAAAACUCGUGCAACAAAUCAUGAAUGCGGCAAGUUCUAACACCACCUAGGGAUCUUUCUUUGGAAACCAUAACCAAGCUUCUGCUUAUGAGUUCAUAUAUGUACUCCUCAGCUACAUCCUCCAAGCUCUUUAUCACACUUUUCUGGACAAAUCCUUCAGCGAUCCAUAAACUCAUCAACCUCCAAGAGGGAAUCUCUGUGUCUUCGGGAAAUGCUGCGAAGUAGAGAAAGCAUGGUUUUAGAUAUUCAGGUAAAUGCCGGUAACUCAGCUCUAAUACAUUCAUGCAAUGAUCUGUAGCACAAACAGCACUUAAUCUUAGUCUUUCCACGAUCUCUAUCCAGCCAUCUUUCUCCAGUUUAGCAAGAAUUCCAGCUACCGUAACAAUUGUGAGAGGUAGUCCCUGACAAUGUUUGGCUAUCUGCAUCCCUAGAUCACUGUGCGCUGAAGGAUAGCCUUCUUCUUCAGGUAGCUUCUUCUGCAGUAAUUCCCAGCUCUCCUUAUCAGUAAGUCGUUGAAGAUGGUGAAUUGUAACAUUUUCGUUGAUUUCUAGAGCCACCAUAGGAAGUCGACUGGUUAAGAGGAUUUUACUUCCAUUGGCAUUAUCUGGGAAAGAUCUUUCCAACGUAUUCCAGACCUCACUACUCCACACAUCAUCAAGAACAAUGAGAUACCUAUUUUUCAUCAAACGCUGCCUUAGCUUUUGUUCCAUCUCAUCUUCAGUCUUCUUUGAAUAUUCAUCACCACAGUGGUGUUUUUUUCUUUGUAGCUGAUCAUCAAAAAGGUCAGGAUCCAUACAACUCAAAAUCUGAAGCAGCAAAUCCUUUUGCUGAUAGAGUUGAGAAACAGUACACCAUGCACGGACAUGAAAAAAGCAUCUAAUUGAAAGAUCAUUAUAAACAUUUUGGGCCAAAGUCGUUUUACCUAUUCCAGGCAUACCAACAAUGGAAACAAACCCCAACUGCUUAUGUCCUCUUGUAAGUUUGUGAAUUAUUCUGGCUUCAUCUUCCAACCUCACCCGAACUUUGUUGGUUGUCCUGCUCACACUAUGGGCUUCCAACCUAUACUUAUUGUCACAAACCUUCAUGGCUUCAAUCUUAGCAAGAUUAAUCUCUUUAAGCUCUUCCCUGAUGGAAUCAAAUAUGAUUGGAGACCAAAAAUCUGGAAAGUCUCCAAUGAACAAGGAUUUAACCGUCAGCUGUGUCUUGUGCGCCACCUCCAUGACCGGUCUCCGAAGGGCUUGGUUGCUCUGGUCCACACUGAUCUCCAAGAAAGAUCUUACUGAUACAAGAUCUUCUCGGAUAGUUUGAAUUUGAUCCUUUGGAAAAGCAAUUGAACCAACCUCACAACUCGGCAGCUCUUUCAGCUUUUCAAGGAGAAAAUCCAUAAAACCAAGCUCAUUGUUUCUUGAAAAGAUGAAUGUCGAUGUAACUACUUUUACAAGCUUAAUCUUUCCCAUGAAGUUGAAAAGUGACAAAUCGAAUUCCUUGGCCAAGAUAUUUUUCAAGUUGUGCAAAACAAGUAUGUAAAUCAUGAUUACUGCUUCUUUGACCGCAGCUCGAAUGAGAUCCAAGAUUUCUUUCAAGUCGUGCAAAAAAAGUAGGCAAAUUAUGAUUCCUGCUUCGUUGACCGCAGCUCGAAUGAGAUCCUUCUCUUUUUCAUGAAGCUCAUCAAACUUCUCCGGGUACUUCAUAAGAAUGGUUUCCAAGAAUCUUAGUCCCUUAUAGAGCAGUGGUAUUUGCUCCUCAAAACAGAUAAUCAACACGGCAUCACGAUUUAGUAGCUUAUCAAGACUGUCCAGGAGAAAAUGAACAUGGCCCUCCAAUCGAUCCUUGUUGGUCUCCAGAAUGUUGGAUGAUCUUUUCCAGUGUGUAGCUGUCAAGACUUUGAUGUAACUCUCACGGAUCUGGGGUUCAAAAAACACGAAUUUUGCCAGCACCCCAGAAAUCUUUGUUUUCAUUUCGUCACGCACGAUCGCAUCCCUUUUGCGACCCGUGGAAAUGAAAAAGACGCUUGCCGCUGCAUUGACUGCCACAAGUUCCAAAUGAGUCAAGAGAACCUUCAACUGCUUGUGCUGAAACCCUUUCAAUUCUGCAAAGUGAAUGAAUCGUUUGAAGAAUUCCAGCUUCUCUUUAAAGCUUGAGAUCAGAGCUCGCAAGUGGACAUCGCCCAAGUCGUCCAAGUCGACAAGAUCUUCCAUAUUUGCUAACAGCGAGUCAAUGAAUUCCAUAAGUUCGUCUCUGGAUUGCAAGGAGUAACCCACCGCAGUGAUGCUGGAAUAGGAUUCGCUGAUUUUUUGUGUGAAAGACCAUAAGCUUCCCCGAAAAUCUUCCGCCAUCCCAAUAAAAUAAGCUUUCAUGUGAGAUUGUGGAUAGAAUCGUUCCUCUACUCCAAAACGAAUGAAGUCCAACUCCUUUCCUAUUCGGUCAACUGCAUCUUCAAGGCUAUGCAACAGAGAUCCAAGACUUGCAUUUUCAUCUGAUUUAAAGUAGAGAAAUAUGCUACGCAUGAAAGAUCCAAGAGAUUCCCAACUGAUCAAACGAUUGCUGCUCCUAGCACACAAAACAAAUGUUCUCAGAAGUCUUAGAUCCAUCCUCAGCCCCGUCCACAGAUGAGAUUCUACGUCCAGAUCUUUUGCCAGAUGCUCUAGAGCAUUUAAGACUAUAUCAACGAAAGCACAGCCCAUCUUUGAUUCUUUCUAUCCUCUGCAGCAAUGGAAGACACUUGAAACUUUACCUCUUUUUUUCAACUUCAGUGAACACGAACUCCAGGAACUAAUCCAUGCUAUUCUCAGCGGUUCUUGUCUCAAUAUUUCGGUAAACCCCUUCCUACAAUGAAUGGAACAAGAUCUCUCUCUUCCCUUCUCUCUCUCUCUCUCUCUCUCUCUCUCUCACUUUUUUUUUUUUUUUUUGUACACAGGUGCAACUGUAGAGCGACUCUAUGGCCGCAGGGGAAAGGUCGUUUAUACGCUCAACAACACACGGUGGUGUUUGGAAUUGUACCCAAAAAAUUUUACAUUUUUUUUAAAUUUUUUACAUGUAUUAAAUUGUUAUAGUAUAUUUUUUUCAUACAAAUUUCAAAAAAUUACAAUUCAAAUGGAAUGGAACCCUCCUCUUUUGGUAAAAAGAAAAAAGGAGCAUUUGCACAAGGGAAAAAUCAUUUAAAAUUUAGUCUCAAUCUAAAUUUUUUAUCAUUUUUUACUCUAAAUGAUCAAUUUUUUUUAAGAGCAAAAGGAUUAAAUCUCAUUUAUAACCAAACAAACAACUGGAUCCAUUAUUCAAUUUUGCUCUCUAAAGAAGUAGAAUUUGACUCUUACCAUAUUCAUUUUUAACCCAAAAAAAAAAAAAAGAAAUCGGAUCAAAAUUAUAUUAAUCUUUGUCACUACAAAAGCAAGAUCUGACAUUUAUAUACAUAAAAAAUGAUAACAUGUGAAUCAUUUUGUGAUUUCAACUAAAAAGAAAUUAAAAAUUUAGGUUAGAACCAAAUUUUACUUAUUUAAAUUUAUAAGAAAUAUAAAAUUAAUAUUUUAAAAAUAAAAAACAAAAAAAUUUAUUUAACAAAAUGUCAUGAUGGUUGUUUUGAAUGGUUUCCUUUUCCAAAAUGUGCCCGCAAACAUAUAUUAUAAUCGCUAUUACUUUCUACUACCAAAUGACUCUCUUAACAUUUCGAAGUUUCCAAAUAACCCCACAUAAUUUUAUAUAAAGGGAAAACUUGACUAAAAGCAGCUUCCUAUUAGUUGAAAUGCUAGUGUUAACCAAAUGAGAACUAAAUAGAUAUGUAUGUUAAACUAUAUGGAAUUAAGUGGAUAUUAUAGACCACUUGGCUUCUUAUCUUUCUGAGCAAAGAAAAGUAGAGAGCUCACAUUGGUACAACAUAGCCUUGAGUUUGCAAAAACAUCUUGCUCCGAGAAAAGGCAUGGCCUCUGUAGAUUUCAUGGCUCAUCAAAGGUGAAAAGCUCAUCAUGCCCAUGCAGAGAAACUGCAGAAAAUUUUCUUUUCUGGCUUUUACCACACAGAACUCAUGCAACAAAUCAUGUAUGUGGCAAAUUCUUACACCUCCUAGGGAUCUUUCUUUCCAGACCAUAACCAAGCUUCUCCUUAUCAGUUCACACACAUAAUCCUGAGCCACAUCUUCUAAGCUCUUUACAUCACUUUUUUCCACAAGCCCUUCAGCGAUCCAUAAACUCAUCAACCUCCGAAAAGGAAUCUCUUGGUCUUCAAGAAAUGUCCCAAAAUAAAGAAAGCACGGCUUUAGAUAAUCAGGUAAAUGCCCAUAACCAGCUCUAAAACAUCCAUACACUGAUCGGUGGCACAAACAGCAGCGCUUAAACUCAGUCUUUCUGCAAUCUCUUUCCAACCAUCUUGCUUCAGAUUUGCAAGAAUUCCAGCUACUGUUAACAACUUUGAGUGGUAGCCCCUGACAAUGUUUUGCCAUUUGCAUCCCCAGAUCACUCUGUGCUAAAGGAUAGCCUUCUUCUUCACAAGCUAUCUGUUUCUGCAGUAAUUCCCAGCUCUCCUUAUCAGUAACUCCUCGAAGAUGGUGAAUUUUACCAUUCUGGUUAAUCUCAAAAGCCACCUUAGGAAGUCGACUUGUUAAAAGGAUUCUACUGCCAUUGGCAUUAUCAGGGGAAGAUCAUUGCAAGCCACUCCAGGCCUCGCUAUUCCACACAUCAUCCAAAACAAUGAGAUAUGUAAUUCUCAUCAAACUUUGUCUUAGCUUUUUCUUCCAACUCAUCUUGAGUCAUCUUACUAUAGUCACCAUCAGAAGGGUCAGAAUUCAUACAACCCAAAAUCUGAAGCAGUAAAUUUUUCUGUUGAUGAAUUUUAGAAACAUUACACCAUGCACGUGCAUGAAAAAAGCGUCUGACUGAAUGAUCAUUGUAAACAUUUCUUGCCAAAGUUGUCUUACCUAGUCCCGCCAUACCCACAAUAGAAACAACGUCUAACUGCUUUGGUCCUCUGGUAAGUUUCUGAGUUACUGUGGUUACCUCAGCGUCCAAUUUCACCACAAUUUUGUUGGUUGUCCUGCUUGCACUAUGGGUUUCCAAUCUUAACUUACUAUGACUAAUCUUCAAAGCUUCCAUCUUAAGAAGAUUAACCUCAUUAACUUCUUCUCUGAUGGAAUCAAACAGGAUUGGAGAAUAACCAGGAAUAUCUCCAACAAACAAGGAUUUUACCAAAAAUGUGUCUUCCGUGCCACCUCCAUGACACAGCUCCAAAGAGCUUGGUUGCACUGGUCCGUACUAUUCUCAUAGAAAGAUCCUAAUAAUGCAAGAUCUUCUUGGAUGUCUUGAAUUUGAUCCUCUGCACAAGCAAUUGAAUCAACCUCACAACUUGGCAGAUCCUUCAGAUUUUCUGAGAGAAAGUCCAUAAAACCAAGUUCGUUGGUGCUGGGAAAGAUGAAUGUUGACGUUGAAACUUUAACAAGCUGAAUCUUUCCUCAAAAUUGAAAAGCGCAGAAUCAAAUUCCUUCGCCAAGCCUUCUUUCAAUUCGUGCACAAAAAGCAGCCAAAUUAUGAUCCCUGCCUUGUUGACUGCAGCUCCAAUAAGAUCCUUUUCUUUUUCAUGUAGCUUAUCAAACUUCUCCUGGUGCUUCUUAAGAAUGGUUCUCAAGAAUCCUAGUCCCUUAUACAGGGGUGGUAUUUGAUCCUUCAAAUAGAACAUCAGAUCGUUACCACGAUUUACUAGGUCGCUAAGAUUGUCAAGAAGAAAACAUACAUAGUCCUCCAAUACAUCCUUACCCAUCUCCAGAGUGUCUGAUAAUCUUGGCACGUGUGAAGCCAUCAAGACUUGGACGUAACCCUCAUGGAGUUGGCAGUCAACAGACACGAUCAUUUGCAGCAGUUCAGAAGUCUUAUUCUGCAUUUCAUCGCACACUGUCUCAUCCUCUGUGCUAGCUUGAUACAUGCAAAAUACUCCUGCUGCUGCAUUGACAGAGGCAGCUUCCAAAUGAGUCAAGAGAAUUUCCAACUGCUUCUUCUCAAAUCCUCGCAAUUCUGCGAACUGAGUAAAUCAUUUGAAGAAUGUCAACUUCUCUUCUAGACCUCUAAUCAGAUUUCUCAAACUCUGAUCAUAAACAUCUCCCCAGUAGAUUAGAUCCACCACAUUUACUAUAGGGUGUAGAUGAAUCCCAUAAGCCUGUCCCAGGAUUGCACCGAGCAGUCCAACACAGUGAUGUAGGAAUCAGAUUCAUUGAUCUUUUGGUUAACAGACCCCAUGCUUCCCUUAAAAUCAUAGAUUAUGUCCUGUAAAUCCCAUUUCAAUUCAGUGAGAGAAGAGAAUCCUUAGUCUACUCUAAGACGAAAGGAGUAAAAGACUUCUCCAUUUUUGUGGACUGCUUAUGCAAUACUGUGCAACAAAGAUCCCAGACUUGCAUUUUCAUCAGAGUUGCAACUGUGGUCGUUGCUGCUCCAGUACGUCCUAGCACACGAGACGAAUGUUCGCUGAAUUCUUAGCUACAUCUUCAGGCUCGUCAACCGACAAUCAUCUACAUACAGAUCUUUCGCCAGCAUCUCUAGAGCAUUCAAGACUUCAUCAAUGGAAUCAAAAUCCAUCUUUCUGAGGUUCCACUGCAGCAAUGGAAGAUUUUUUAUUUUUUUUUUUUUGGUUGCUUUUACGGAUAAACUUUCGAACUUCAGUUGAACAAGAACUGUUCUAAGUAUUCUAUGCUGCUGAAAAUCAAUUGUUUUUCUUUUUUUUUUUUUUUUUGGUUUUGCAGAAAAACUUUGAACUCCAUUUGAACAAGAACUAUAGAAUGUAUCCUAUGCUGCUGUUUUUGGGUGCUUUUACUUUAAAAUUGAACUGCAAUUGAGCAAGAACUGCAGGAAGCCUGCCAUGCUGCAGGAAAUGAGGUGAUUCUUACUUCUCUUACUUCUAUGAAUAUUUUGGUCAACCCUCUCUUUUUCUUAGUGAAAUUAUGAGUAGAAUGAAACAAGAUCCGCCAAUUCAGGCAGCCAUGUUAAACAACCAGGGAAAUCAUUAAUGGACCAAAAAAAAAUUUGUUCUCAAGUCUCAUUUCCAUCUUUCCACCGAUAACACUAUUUGACCAGAGCAUUAAUUUCUCAAGUUUUUUUUAUUAAGUAGUCCUCAACUUGACUCAAUGAUGCAGCAUUUUUCAUUAAACUAAUGAAUGAAGCAAUCUCUAAGCUUUAAUAAAGAAAGGAAAACAACUUCGUUAUCUCUUGUAUCAAUUCUAUCCUACGUACCGUCAUCUCUUGUAUCAACCUGUAUUCCACCCUUUUAUUUUCUUGCAGGUAUUCACGGUAUAUCAAAAUAUAUGGAAAGUGAAAAUACAGGUACUAAACAAAAUGUUGAAUAGAAUUGGGAUUUGACACAUGAAGAUAAGGAUGCAAAGCCAAAGAGAACUGACUCAUGGGAGGCCAAUUUGAGGUGCUAGAAAGAGCAAUAAAGCUCAAACCAUGAAUGAGAAGGGGGAAGAUAACUGUAAGAAGUAGAAAUGCAAGAAUCAUGGGGAGAAAGGUGGGGAGGGCAAUACCGUUAAUCACUACCAUGGUCGUCUAUUCGCCCUUAAUCUUGUACAUUUGUCUCAAAUGUAUCUCAAGAAUAUAUGUAUUAACCAACCAAUAUCAUCACAUGAUAUUGAUGUACUUAACUAACCUUUAUUUCCCAGGUAAUCUUACGAAUUUUAGAGCACAAACAUGUACCAAAAGAGAAAUUUGUUGAGGAAAAUAACUAAAUCACAGCGAGCUAAACGUUCAAGAGAAAAUGCGCCUAAUAAUCUCUCCUUUGGUUUUUUGGUUUAUCUUUUAGACACUCUUUCUUCUGAUGUAGAUGGGAUGUGAAGGACCAAUUUAUUGGUGGUAUUGAUAGGGUGUUAAUUGUUAGUAAUUUUAUUAUUAAUUUUUCUUUUUACCGUUGCCAAAUAUUGCUUUAAUUUGCUUUAAUUGUCAAUAUAUAUUUAUAUUUAGUAUUUAAAUAUAAUUUCAGAAAUUGGAGCAGAAACCUCUUGAGAAGAUUAUUGUAAAGCUUUACACAAUUCCGGUGCAAACCAACGAAGAAGAAUGGAAUUGCAUUUGGGAAUUCAAUUUGGCUAGACAACAUAUCAAAGUUGGUGGGGACCGCAAAUAAGUUGUAUUGUCUAAAGUUUGCUUUCUUUGCACAUUUGUGGUUUUGCUUUCUUGUUGGUGAACGUGUGCACUUGGUCAAAAAGAAAACCGACACUUGCUUUUGUUUUGAGUGGAGUUGAAUUGAUUGCGUAGAGAAAUGAUGACCUCUUUGGUGGACGUGGGGUCAUGUCUCCAUUUGGCUGGUUUUUUUAUGUAUGAAGACAUUAGACGUGAAAGGGAGCUAUUAGACUAGUUUUGAGUUUUCUCUCCAAAUAAGCUCCAUUGGAGGAUAGAGGUAGUUUUUGGUUUUCAGAGGAGGAGUUCUUCCUUCUCUUGUUGCGUGGUGUGCAACUUUUUUUCAAAGAGUCUACGGAGACUCAAGUUGCUUUCUAAAUUCUUAGUCAGUUAUUUAUGUAUUUGAUUCCAAUUAAAUUGCGUGGGAAUUUUAUCAUGAGACUUAACUAAUCUUCUCAUCUAGUCAAGGAUCAACGCGAAGACGCAGUCCCAAAUAUCUGUGAGAUCUAAUUAAUUUUACGUGUUUCUUAAUUUGUUAAUAUUUGCAUGUUUUCUAUUUUAAUUUUCAUGGGAUUAUUUUGUUAAUUGGAUAUCAAGGGCCCGAUGUGCAAUUUGACUUUUUAAUCUUCUGUCAAAUUAAUCAAUUAAAUCCGUAAUUGUUUAAUUGGUUAAUAUUAGUAGCAACUAGUAUUUUCACAUACUAGGGGAACAUGCAAUCUGAUUUAAAUAACCCUCGUAACGUGUUAUUAAUUUGGGUUAGGCUUUUCUAGUUUUUAAUGCAAUUAGGAAAUUAAUUCCUACGUUCGUACCUAGGAGUAUUUCCUGGUUAGGGGUAAUCAACGGUCGUACCUUGGUUAUCAAUAAAUUAAGGAAAAGCUGGUCGUUAGAGCUUAUCGGCGACUAUAACUAACCUGUUAAUAAAAUUAAGUGAACCUUCUUUGCAUCAAUGAUCGGAUGAAUGGACUGUGUCUGCGUAGUUGUAUCCUUGGUUAGAAUUUAUUUAUUAUUUAUUUAAUUGCUAUUUACAUUCCUAUUAAUUAAUUAUUUAUUUUUGGUUAAAUUGUUUAAUUAUUUUUAGUUUAUUUCUGAUAAAAAUCCCCCGUGAAAAGAAUCGAAUUUUUCCCAGUCUCUGUGGAUUCGACCCUAUUCACUACUAUACACAGAAAAUUUAUUUUUCUCGAAUAGAUAUUUAUUAUUGCACAGGCUCGACACCUGUCAGGUAUUGUGGACUUCUUCACCCUGGUGAAGCACUCUUGACUUCAGGUAUAAUAAGAACCAGUAAAUCACUAACCAUAGGCCUGGCAGCCAGCCGUUGUUUAAUGAGGUAAGAUGUUUUACUCUCUCGUGCUUUUAGGCUUUAAUUCCGGAAAUAUAUAUUCUUGGAUACAGAUUAUGCAAGUUAUGUGCACUUGUGCUUAACCUAGGUUACAAGAAGAGAGAUAUUAUCAGAACCAGGUUGAUGAAUUUAUCAGAACCAUACAACUGUGUUCUACUUAUCGAACAGACUACAAGAGCAAGUUCAAAAUAUCUGUUCUUACAACUUGGAUGCAACAUAGGAUGUCAUCAAUACUCAUUAAACUGUAAAGAAAAAGAACAAGUUGAUGCACUUGUUAGUCAGUCACUGACAAAAUGAGGAAAAACCAAUGAAAAUAUUGACACUGAUAAUUUCCUUUAGAGAUCAUUUCCUUCUCUUAGAUAAUUUUUUCCCGUGGAAAGGAAGAAAAUAGGAAUCAUGAUAAAAUUUCAUUGAAAAGUACAAUUAAUAGCUGUUACUGUGUCAUACCUACAAAAGUCUAUAGCAAAAAGUUUCAAAUUGUCAAAAGUAAUAAAUAAGUUGUAAAAUACAUUAAAUACAUGUAUGAAUAUGAUUUAAACCAUAUUAAAUAAUCUAGACGACAAUGUUAGAGCUCUAUAUAGAAGAAGAAAAAGAACCAUAUUCAUUUGUGUAUUAACGCAAACAAGUUUGCAAGAUUUAAAACUGAUAAAACAAACCCUACAGUGUCUCAGUAUUUGAGUGUUAAGACCUACCCUUCAGUAUUUUUACCUUGGCAAACAGUCUUGGAGAUUUAUAUAGGACUAACAUUUAGAGUUUUUGUUAGUCUUAUUAAAUUUUAAUUAUAAUAGUUCAUGCAAAUUAUAAAAUAUGAAAAUCAGUGGCACAAAAAAUCAUUUUCAUUUUAGUCAAAGUGAGUAAAAUUUUACUUUUUGAAGGCUGGAAAUGACAUUCUUGAUUGAAAUGGUGAAAGAAUGAACUUAACUUGCAAUUUGGCAUUUCUCUCUCUUCUUUACUAGCACUUAAAUAGAAAGGUCUUCUUGAAUUUUGUUCAUCAAUCUCUUGGGUUAUUAAGGAUUACAAUCUACCAUUUUUUAAUUUAGUUAGUUAAGGCUUUGAUUGAUGCACUAUGUUCUUAAUCACUGAUCAUAUUUUUUCCUUUGAAGAAAAAGAAAAAUACUAAAACUAUAUUUAAAAAUAGAAAGCACAAACUUUUAUUGUUAGGAAAAGUGAAGUAAGAAAAAAUAAGGAAAAAAAACUGAUAGCCUGGUAGGAGCUACAAAGAUAAUGCUUCAUUUCUUCAAAUUAAGUCACAUGAUGUUUUAGUUUCAAGAUUGAGACAAUAGAUGAUUAGUUGCAAUAGUGAAUAACUAAUUAGUCUCAAAGAGUUUUCAAAAAGUAUACAUUGAUCAAAUGGUUGAGGAAAAUCUAGAAACUAGAUGACCACAAAUAUUGAUGAGAAACUAUUCACAACAAAGAAUAAAUUUACAUGUACAAGUAACAUAACUUUGUCAAGGUAAUUAAACAUCUAGUAGAAAGAAACAAAAUAAGUUUUCAUCAGACGUUCUUCGUACUGCGUAUUACAUGAGAUAAAAUAAAAAAGAAUUUGAGCUUUGUGGUUAAUAUGAACUAAGACUUGAAACAAAUGUCAAAAUGUGUAUAUUCCAAAAUUAGAGGGAAAUGCAUUUCUAAAAGUCAAAAUAAAAUAUUUAUGAAUGCAAAUAACAUUUAUUAAUAUGGCGUUGUCACAUACAUUUAUUAUUGUAGUACUUUUUUGACGUAAUAUAUAUAGGAAAAAGGUAGUUAAAAAAGAUAAAAAUAUGAUUUGAGAACGUUUUUAUGAUGUAAUUAAAAUUUUAUUUUCAAAUAAUUACAUAUCCAAACAAUCCCAUAAUGUGCAUGCUUGCUUCAUCUUUAUAAAUUUUAUUAUGAAGGAAAUGUAUGAAAUUGAAACAAAUUAGAUAAAAAGAAGUUUACGCUUCCCGCGCAAUAUUUGGAACCAUAUUAUACUAAAAAAUGUGCGGAUUGAUUCUCUCUCAUAUGGAUAGUGAAUCAUUUAUUAGGUUACUAAUGUAUUAUAUUCUCAUUAAAAGCAAUAUAUUUCUAUAAUUCAUGUUAUCCACGACUAAACUAUACUAUAACCAAAAGAUAAACAUUUCAAAAGAAUAUGAACAAAUCCAAAAAAAACUAGGAUAGGAAAUAAUGAAAGAAAAAAAAUUUUAAUCAACCAUUAAAUAGUUUGCCUAAUUGAGGAUGCAAUUUAAGAAGUUUAUGAGUUUUAAAUUUUUUUAGCUUCCAAUCGUAUUACAUAAAUUUAAAAGUUAAACGAGUUUUGCGCAACAAUAUACACGUGCAAUGCACCUGCUCUUUCCUAGUGUGUGUAUGUGACUAUAUAGUGACUAUAUAUAUAUAUAAAUGUAUAUAUGUAUGUAUAGAUAAUCGUGUCAACUCACGAACUAAUAAGUUAAAUAUCUUUGAAUUCAAAUUCGAACUCGAGCUUGAACUCGAGCUACUACUUGCUCGACUCGUAUGCAGCCCUACCGUGCAACGGAUAGUUUGAGAUCAAGUAAACUAGACACCAACUCAUCUCCACUUCAUUUCAAAAUCUGUUGAUUUUAAAAUAAUGGAUUCUUUGUGCUUCAAAAAACAGAGGGUUAUCUAAAUGAAAAGAAUAACGGAAGAAGAAGACUGCAAAUAAGUACUAGAACUCACAAAAAUUUUUCACAAUGAUACAAAAGUUGAGGAAGGUUAACGUUCAUUAUCCUUUUAAUAGUAAAAUGGCAAUUUUACAUCAAGUAUGGUAUCUUGUAUUGCAAUGAUAUUCCAUAUCCGGAUAAAUAAACCGUGCCAUGUCAAAUAUACCUCAAGCGAUAUUAUUACUAUUAAGGGAUUUUGAACACAUCAUUGUGGAGAAAAAAAUGUACAAGUCAUCACUAUCAAAUAUAAGAGCAAAAUACAUGGUAAUCAUGUUGGUUACCUCUACCUAAAUCUGGGCCAACCUAUGAAACUGUCCGUGGUGAUCAAAGCACACAAGUAGAUUACGUAUUGGUUCUUCCUCAAACAAAAAUCUGGAAAUCCUCAUUUCCAGAGUCUUUUUGCUCUUCCUCAAUCUCCCAAAGUGAACUUACAACCGAAUCUGAACAGCCGUGCACCUCAAUCAUUUCAAGAGUUGAAACUUCCCCAAAACAAGAAGGGACUUCUUUCAGUCUCCAGCAUUGAACCAAGACUAAUUUCCGCAGACGCGGGAACUGAUCAGAUGAGCAUUUCCAUCGAGAUAUACGCAACUGUUCCAGUUUCAAGUAUUUGAGCUGAGGAAACUCAAAUCCUUCCAGGUCCCAUGUGCCCUGCGGAGAGACUUCACGAUCUAAUUUGAUCACCUCAAGACUGCACAGUUUCCCAAUCAAUGGAAUUUCACUCCAAUGGAAAUAUGACAGACUCAACUUCUUUAGACUCAUCAACUGAAAACGAAACUCAAGAUGGUACCUUCUCGGGUGAUCCAGCAUGAGCUUGAGCGAUUCCAAUUGGCUCAGAAAGCCCAUUGCCACAAUCUUAUUACAAUCUCCAUUAUAUUCCUCAGAUUUGAAGAGCCUGCAUUUUAGUCUGCGGAUGUUUGGGAAUUUUUCCAAUAUCUUUUCGCUUUGUACUGAACUAAGAACCAGAACAGAAAUGCUGUCUAAAUUAUGUAAACUCCCCAGGUUCUCUUCAGCCCAGUUAAAAGUAAAACCAUUUCUUGCGUCUAGUCGCCUCAAUUUCUUCAAAUUCCAUAUAGUAUCUGGCAGUAGGACAUUUCCGCCUGCUUGGACGAUAAAAGUUUCUAAAUGUGAGAGAUUGCCUACUGAUGAAGGAAUGGAGUUGGCUGAAAGAUGAAUUGCCAAGUACCUCAGCUCAGAAAGCAACUCUAUCUCGCUUGGAAGUUCACCAUGUAGACAAAAUUGUCUCAAGUCCAAUACUCUCAGACGCUUGAAAAAGAGAAAUAGGAAUUUAGGAAAACCACUUCGGAGCAUCUCAUCCUCCUGAGCAUAGAACAUCAGAGAGUUCACACGGGUUGAGCAUAGCCUUGAGUCCGCAAAAAUAUCCUGCCCUGAAAAAAUGCAUAACCUUUGCAGAUUGCGUGGCUCAUCAAAGGUGAAAAGUUUAUCAUCUCCAUGUAAAAACUGCAGAAAAUUUUCUUUCUGGGCUUUUACCAAACAAAACUCGUGCAACAAAUCAUGAAUGCGGCAAGUUCUAACACCACCUAGGGAUCUUUCUUUGGAAACCAUAACCAAGCUUCUGCUUGUCAGUUCAUAUAUGUACUCCUCAGCUACAUCCUCCAAGCUCUUUAUCUCACUUUCCUGGACAAAUCCUUCAGCGAUCCAUAAACUCAUCAACCUCCAAGAGGGAAUCUCUCUGUCUUCGGGAAAUGCUGCGAAGUAGAGAAAGCAUGGCUUUAGAUAUUCAGGUAAAUGCUGGUAACUCAGCUCUAAUACAUCCAUGCACUGAUCUGUAGCACAAACAGCACUUAAGCUUAGUCUUUCCGCGACCUCUAUCCAACCAUCAUCUUUCUCCAAUCUAGCAAGAAUUCCAGCUACCGUAACAAUCGUGAGAGGUAAACCCUGACAAUGUCUGGCUAUCUGCAUCCCUAGAUCACUGUGCGCUAAAGGAAAGCCAUUUUCUUCAGGUAGCUUCUUCUGCAGUAAUUCCCAACUCUCCUUAUCAGUGAGUCGUUGAAGAUGGUGAAUUGUAACAUUCUGGUUGAUUUCCAAAGCCACCAUAGGAAGUCGACUGGUUAAGAGGAUUCUACUUCCAUUGGCAUUAUCUGGGAAAGAUCUUUCCAACGCAUUCCAAGCCUCACUACUCCACACAUCAUCAAGAACAAUGAGAUACCUAAUUUUCAUCAAACGUUGCUUUAGUUUUUCUUCCAACUCAUCUUCAUUCUUCUUUGAAUAUUCAUCACCAGAGUGGUGUUUUUUUCUUUGUAGCUGAUCCUCAAAAAGGUCAGGAUCCAUACAACUCAAAAUCUGAAGCAGCACAUCUUUAUGCUGAUAGAGCUGAGAAACAGCACACCAUGCACGGAUAUGAAAAACGCAUCUAAUUGAAGGAUCAUCAUAAACAUUUUGGGCCAAAGUCGUCUUACCUAUUCCAGGCAUACCAACAAUGGAAACAAACCCCAACUGCUUUUGUCCUCUUGUAAGUUUGUGAAUUAUUGUGGCUUCAUCUUCCAGCCUCACCCGAACUUUGUUGGUUGUCCUGCUCACACUAUGGGCUUCCAAUCUAUACUUAUUGUCACAAAUGUUCAUGGCUUCCAUCUUAGCAAGAUUAAUCUCUUUAAGUUCUUCCCUGAUGGAAUCAAAUAUGAUUGGAGACCUAAAAUCUGGAAUGUCUCCAAUGAACAAGGAUUUAACCGUCAGCUGUGUCUUAUGCGCCGCCACCAUGACACGUCUCCGAAGGGCUUGGUUGCUCUGGUCCACACUGAUCUCCAUCAAAGAUCUUAAUGAUGCAAGAUCUUCUCGGAUAGUUUGAAUUUGAUCCUUUGCAAAAGCAAUUGAACCAACCUCACAACUCGGCAGCUCUUUCAGAUUUUCUAGGAGAAAAUCCAUAAAACCAAGCUCAUUGUUUCUUGGAAAGAUGAAUGUCGAUGUAACUACUUUUACAAGCUUAAUCUUUCCCACGAAGUUGAGAAGUGCCAAAUCAAAUUCCUUGGCCAAGCCUUCUUUCAAGACGUGCAAAAAAAUUAGGCAAAUUAUGAUUCCUGCUUCGUUGACCGCAGCUCGAAUGAGAUCCUUCACCUUUUCAUGAAGCCCAUCAAACUUCUCCGGGUACUUCAUAAGAAUGGUUUUCAAGAAUCUUAGUCCCUUAUAGAGCAGUGGUAUUUGCUCCUCAAAAUUGAUAAUCAACACAGCAUCACGACAUAGUAGCUUAUCAAGACUGUCCAGGAGAAAAAAAACAUGGUGCUCCAAUAGACGUCUGUUCGUCGCCAGAAUGUUGGAUGAUCUUUUCCAGUCUGUAGCUGUCAAGACUUUGAUGUAACUCUCAAGCAUCUGGGGUUCAACAGACAUGACUUUUGCCAGCACCCCAGAAAUCUUUGUUUUCAUUUCGUCACGCACGAUCGCAUCCCUUUUGCGACCCGUGGAAAUGAAAAAGACGCUUGCCGCUGCAUUGACUGCCACAAGUUCCAAAUGAGUCAAGAGAACCUUCAACUGCCUGUGCUGAAACCCUUUCAAUUCUGCAAAGAGAAUGAAUCGUUUGAAGAAUUCUAGCUUCUCUUUAAUGUAUGAGAUCAGAGUUCCCAGGUAGACAUUGCCCAAGUCGAGAAGAUCUUCCAUAUUUGCCAACAGCAGGUCAAUGAAUUCCAUAAGUUCGUCUCUGGAUUGCAAGGAGUAACCCAACGCAGUGAUGUUGGAAUAGGAUUCGUUGAUUUUUUGUGUGAAAGACCACAAGCUUCCCCGAAAAUCUUCCACCAUCCCAAUAAAAUAAGCUUUCAUGUGAGAUCGUGGAUAGAAUCGUUCCUCUACUCCAAGACGAAUGGAGUCCAACUCCUUUCCUAUUCGGUUAACUGCAUCUUCAAGGCUAUGCAACAGAGAUCCAAGACUUGCAUUUUCAUCAGAUUUAAAGUAGAGAAAUAUGCUACGCAUGAAAGAUCCAAGAGAUUCCCAACUGAUCAAACGAUUGCUGCUCCUCCAGUACUUCCGAGCACACAAAACAAAUGUUCUCACAAGUCUUAGAUCCGUCCUCAGCCCCGUCCACAGAUGAGAUUCUACGUCCAGAUCUUUUGCCAGAUGCUCUAGAGCAUUUAAGACUCUAUCAACCGAAGCACAGCCCAUCUUUGAUUCUUUCUAUCCUCUGCAGCAAUGGAAGACACUCGAAACCUUACCUCCUUUUUUUCAACUUCAGCCAACACGAACUCCAGGAACUAAUCUACGCUGCUGAAAAUUAAGCGGUUCCUCUCUCAAUAUUUCGGUAAACCCCUUCCUACAAUGAAUGAAUGGAACAAGAUCUCUAUCUUCUAUCUUCUUUUUUUUUUUUUUUUGGUUGGGUACACAAGGGCAACUGUAGAGUGACUGCCUGGCUCCUUUCUUCCGUGGCCGCAGGGGAAAGGUCGCUUUUACGCGCAACACAGCAGGGGGGCGUUUCCAGUGGAGUUUUCUACCAAAAAUUUUUUACAUUUUUCAUUCAUCUUUUUUUUUAUUUUUCGCAUGUAUUAAAUCACAACAGUAUAUUUUUCACAAAAACUUCAAAAAAUUGCAAUUCAAAUGGAAUCAAACCCUCCUCUUUUGAUAAAAGAAAAAGGAACAUUUGCAAAAGGGAAAAUCGUUUAAAAUUUAGUCUCAAUCUAAGUUUUGAAUCACUUCUUACUCUAAAUUUUUCAAAUAAUUCACACAUGGUCAUUGUUUUAAGACAAAUGACUUGAUUCAUUAUAAAAACAAAUGACUGGAUCCAUUAUUCAUUUUUGUCCCCUCAGAAGUAGGAUUUGACUUAUAUCAUAUUCAUUUUUCUUUAAAAGGUGAAAUUGGAUCCAAAUAUUAAUCUUUGUCACUAAAAAAGAAAAAAAAAAAAAAGUAGGAUCUGACCUUUUUAUACAUAAAAAUGACAGCAUGUGGGUCACUUUGCAAUUUCAACUAAAAAGCAAUUAAAAAUUUAAGUUAGGACCAAAUUUUGCUUAUUUAAAUUUAUAAGGAAUACAAAAUUAAUAUUUAAAAAUAAAGAACAAAAAAUUUUAUUUGACUAAGGUUCCGUUUGAUAAAAUUGAAUAUGAAUUCUGAAAUCUGAAUACUGAAACAAUUGCUUUGCUGAAUUUUAAGCACUAAAAAGAAAUAUAUGAAUACCUGAAUUUUAAUGUUAAAUCUAUUUAUACUAUUUGAUAAACAUUUUAUAACUGAAUGCUUAGUAAGUUAAAUUUGAUAAUUUUGCCCUUAUAUGUUUUCAUCCAAAAAUAAAUAGAACCUGUGAUUUAAUUAGCAUAAAAUUGUUAGGUAUGAAAAUGACAAUAUUUAUUUUUAAAUCAAAUUAAUAUAAAAAUGAAAUAUAUUAUAUGAGGAGUAUAGAGAAGAUGUGAAAGUCAUUAAAAAUGGAAAAAAGAGAAUAGAAAACCAUUAGAUAAAGAAUAUCAAGCUGUUAAAUUAGAUAAGAAUUUUGAAUAUAAUUAAUAAAUAAGAAUAGAUUCGGGAGAUAAGAUAAGGUAAUUGAAAUAAUUCUAUUGAUUUUUAUCAAAAUUAAGCAAUCAGUUAACAUUCUUGUACUCAAAAAAUAUACACAAGUUCAGCACUGCUUAACAAAUUCAGCAGAUGGAUUUUCAUUUAUCAAAUACUCAAAAUAUUUGAAUGUCUCAAAAAGUUCAGUUUCAGCACUUUUUUAUAUUAUUAAAUAGACCCUAAAUGUUAUGCACUUUUUGGAUAGAAGAUUAUUUGGGAUAAUUUUUAAAAAAAAAAUAUUGUAGUACUUUUUUGAUAUGCUGUAUGUGAGAUAAAAAGAUGAUUAAAAAAUAUAUUGAUAAUGUAAGAAAAUCAAUGUAUGUAAAUAAGGUAUAAAUAAGGUGCAAACCAACGAUACCGUAAAUUUCUACUCCUACAAUCACUGCUUUACAGUUUGAUUGCACUAUCACUUGCACAGUUAUUAAACCCGGCCCGGCCCGGCGGUCGGACCGGUCAAACCGGUGGCCCGGUCAUGAAACCGGGCUGAUUUUCUAGUUGGAUCGGAGUUGCAAAGAACCCGCCUUGACCCGUUCGACCCGGACGGUUUAACCAUAGAACCGCUAGAACCGGCGGUUAUUGAUAAACCCGGUGGGUUUUGGUAAUUUUUUUGAAGUUACCGUUUUAUCCAAUUUUUUUAUUUAGACCAUUCAUACUACAUGGGCAUUAUCGUCUUUUUAGCCAAAUAAAAGAGAAAAUCAGAAAAAUUGAAGAAUGAAGAGGGAAUCGGACAUUUGGCCGUCAUUGGGGAUUUAGGCAUUAGGGAUUGUUUUCUUCUUUGUUUCUCUGAGAAGCGAGAACAAAUGGAGAACUUUUUAAGCAUUUAGGCAUUCGGCCAUUGUUUUGUCGGCACUGGCAGGUUUGAACAAUUUUUCUUUCGGCACUGGCAGGUUUGAACAAUUUGUCGGCACUGGCCAUUGUUUUGUCGGCACUGGAACUUGGAAGUUCGAAGUUCUUCAAGGAAGCCGCCGCUGCUACUGAAGCUGCCGUUGCUACUGAAGCUGCCGCUGCCGUUGCUACUGAAGCUGCCGCAGCCACCGAAGCUCCAGGUACUCGAAGCUACCACUGCCGCUACCAGGUACUCGAGGCUGCCGCUGCCGCUGCCGCUGCCGCCGCUACUGAAGCUGCUGCUACCACCGAAGCUCCAGGUACUCGAGGCUGCCGCUGCCGCUGCCGCUGCCGCCGCCACCGAAGCUGCCGCUUCCAGGAAGCUUUGUUCCUCUCAAUCCUCUUGUGGAGUUUGACGGUCUCUCUCCCUAUUCUCUUAAGGAGUUAAGUCUCUCCGAAUUCUCUGACCGCAGGCAAUAUUUUGUUUCUUCUUUCUUUUUGGAUGAUUAUUUAUUUCUUCUUCCUCUGCAUCGAACUUCAACAUGUGUAGUUACAUAAAUUUUCAGUGCCAUUUAAUACUCUUUGCUUCUGAGAAUUUAAUUUCAACAUGGUUAAAUUCAUUACCUGUAUUUAAUCACUUGCCUCGAACCCGUCAUUGAUAUAUUAGUUCAAAAUGUAGAUAUUGUUGCCAGUGUCUUUUUAAGGUUUCAAAUUGUCAAAUCAAAUUUAGAUUCAUUCACUGAUGAGCUACAAACAACCUUGGAGCAAUUCUAUGAUGCUCUGUAAUUGCCAACUAUGAAGAAUUAAAUCAGUAAGGGUAGAGCAAAAACACAUUUGGGAUAAAAUAUUCUUCUUGAAUAUUCACAGCACGAGAAUCAGUUGAGGAAGGCUUUAUGUUUUGCCAGUUCUUGCGGUACAAUAGCCGUAACAAAAAAUGGAGUUACCCCUGCCCUUCCAACAAUUGAAGCUAUCCUGCAACUUCUAACCAAGGUCACUGCAUGAAUAGAAUAUUAUACAAUUAGUGAUUCUUAUCUUGUUUCUUCUACGUAGUUUGACUUGUAUAAAGUAAUUUGGUUCCACUGCUCCAGCUAUUAUAAGUCCUUCUUUAUCUACUUUUCAUAAACAAUGAUCGGCACUUCACCUGUCGUAAAACACGGUCGUAUUUUCACGUGAGCAAGUUUCUAGUAGUUUAAUUGCAUCAUUGAACUUAACCUGUAGCUAAUUUUUUUAAAUAAAAGAUAUGUUUUAUUAUUUUUCAGAUAUUUCAUAUUUGUAAUGGACUCUAUUGGAGAAACACCGUCUCAAACACCAAGUACAGAACCAACACCUAGUACAUCAAAUUCUCAAAAUCAACCUCUAACAAGGGGAAAGACGGACCCUGCAUGGUCCCAUUGUAGAGAAGAUUCUGUGUCCAACAAAAAAGUUAAGUGCUUGGUAUGUAUUCAUUGUGGAAAAAGAAUUCGAGGAGGUGGUAUCAAUCGAUUCAAGCAGCACCUUGCAGGCGUAAAAGGAGAGACAGCACCUUGUCCGAAGGUUGAUGAACAAAUCAGAUUUGAAAUGCUAGAAAACUUGAAAGCUGUGGAAAGUAAGAAAAGAAGCUUGAAAGAACGCUCAAGGGGAAGUGAUUUAUAUGGUCAAGAUCUAAGACAACAUGAAGAGGAGGUAUACAUGCAAGAUGCAGAAGAUAUUCAAGAGAUUCAACCACCUCCUACUACUGAAGUUUCAAAAGGAAAAAAAGUUCUUCAACAGCACAAAAAAGGAAAAACAAUAGGAACUUUUUUUAUGCCAAGAGCUACUCCAGGAGGUCAACCAUCCAUCAAAAGUGUGAUGCAAAGCAAAGAAGCUAAAGAGAAGGUUGACAUGGCAGUUGCGAAGUGGAUGAUUGAUGCUUCCAUCCCCUUCAAUGCAGCAAACUCUGCAUAUUAUCAAAUAAUGUUUGAUGCUGCUUGUUCUUUUGGAGCUGGUUACAAAGCGCCUAAUUUCUAUGACUUGCGUGGCUAUUUGUUGACAAAAAAUGUUGAGCAAGUUAAGAAUUUUGUUAAUAGCUUUCGUACAACUUGGAAAGAAACUGGAUGUACUAUUAUGGCUGAUGGAUGGACUGACCAACAAAGGAGAACUCUCAUCAACUUUCUAGCUUAUUGCCCUAGAGGAACUGUUUUUCUAAAAUCAGUUGAUGCCUCGGAUGCUUCUAAGACUGCAGAGAUGUUGUAUAAGCUGUUUAGAGAAGUGGUUUUAUUUGUUGGGGUGCAAAAUGUGGUACACUUCGUCACUGACAAUGCUGCCAAUUAUGUUGCUGCUGGAAGAUUAUUAGAAAGGGAAUUUCCAACACUUUAUUGGUCUCCAUGUGCUGCUCAUUGUCUAAAUUUGAUGCUACAUGAUAUGGGCAAGUUAGAUGAGGUUAGUAAAGUGGUUGGACAUGCUUCAAAAAUAACAAAAUACAUUUAUAAUCAUUGUUAUCCAUUGCAUUUGAUGAGAAAACACACUGGUGGAAGAGAAAUUAUUCGGCCUGCUCCUACACGUUUUGCUACUAAUUUCAUUGCAUUGCAAAGUAUUUUAGUGCAAAAAGAUGCUUUAAGAGCUAUGGUGACUUCAAAAGAAUGGACUCUAUCAGCAUAUGCUAAGGAGAGUAAAGCAAAAAAAUUUGUGGAUCUUGUGCUAGAUUCUAUAUUUUGGAAAGAAUGUGCUAUAAUAGUUCAAUUAACUGAGCCUCUUGUUCGAGUUCUAAGAAUUGUUGAUAGUGAUGAAAGGCCUGCUAUGGGAUACUUGUAUGCUGCCAUGCAUAGAGCCAGAGAAGAGCUUUUGAGAAGAUUCACAAGAAAAAAGAAAGCAGUUGAUCCUUACUUAAGAAUAAUUGAUUCAAGAUGGGAUAGUCAGCUUCACAAAAAUCUUCAUGCUGCCGGUUAUUGGCUCAAUCCUGCUUAUCAAUAUAAUUCUCUUGAUUUGGAAAAGCACAGGCAUGCAACAUCAGGACUUUUGGAUGUGAUUGAGAGAUAUUCUUAUGCAAAUCCUGAUUUGAUGAGUAAUUUGACCGGAGAGAUGAGAUUAUUUCGUAAAGCUGAAGGUGAUUUUGGUAGAGUCUCUGCUAUACGAGAUCGUGAUGUCAUGCUUCCAGGUACCCAAAAAUUAACUUCAUUUUUAUUGAUGAUUUGAUUUUAAUUGUAAAAUAUUAUAAUCUGACUUUUUUCCUUUAUUUAUUGCAAUAGAUGAAUGGUGGACAUGUUAUGGUAGCACUGCACCUAAUUUGCAAAAACUAGCUAUACGUGUUCUAAGCCAAACUUGCAGUGCUUCUGGCUGUGAAAGAAAUUGGAGUUUAUUUGAGCAUAUCCACUCAAAGAAGAGAAAUAGAUUGGAGCAUCAAAGACUAAAUGAUUUGGUUUAUGUACACUACAAUUUAAGACUACAACAAAGGUAAACUACAUUUUGCAAUCAGAUUUUUGUUUUAAUAUGAUGACAUUUGUUAUUUAACUAGUUUUAAUGUUUUGUAUCAUUAGAAAUGCAAGGGGUAGAAAUUAUGAUCCUAUUGAUUUUGAGGACUUCAGCAUCAAUGAAACUUGGAUUUUGGAUGAUGAACCUUCACAAUUAACUCCAGUUGAAUUAGAAAGCUUUAGGAAUGAAAUAGCUACAUUUGCUAUCAGCCGACAAAGUGGUGAGUUAUUUUUUUUGAGCCAUAUGUUUGCUUAUUCUUUGUUUUUCGUUUUUGGCUAAAUAUUAUCCAAAUUUAGUGAAUGAUUCAUUGAUUUUUGUACUUAUGUAGAUGAAACUCUAAAUUUGGAUGAUUUGGACACUGGAGAUGAAGAUGAGACCAAUAAUGAAGAGAAUGUUGAAAGAAAUGAUCUUAAUGUGGGCUGUGAUGUAAAUGAACUUGGUGGUAUUGAAUUUGGCAGAAGUUGGGAACCAUGGGCAUGAAUAAUAGAUGGAGUGAACUACUCAAGUGAUAAUUGUGGUGUUGUUUAUGUUCAUGACUUUAUGUUUGGUUGUAUUGAAUUUGUCGUUUAUGACUUAUGUUUCAUGGUUUGAUACUUCUAUUUAUGUGUGUGAAAUGAAUUAUGAACUAUGAACAGGUUAUAACUUGUUGAGAUUUAAGAAUUUCUGCACUUAUAUUAUAAUUUACAUGUUUAUUUAAUUAUAUUAUAUAUAUUUUUUAUUAUAUAUUGUGACCCAACGGUUCAACCAGUGACCCACCGGUUGAACCACUGACCCGUCAACCCGGUCCUCUUGCCGGGUUGAUGUCCGGGUUGGUUUUAAUAACUAUGAUCACUUGUCUCCAUCCUUCUUCUUUGCGCUUUCCACGAUGCUAUUAUAUUAAACCAUUAGGGAAAUUGUCAAUGCGGAAACCAAAACUUUUUAGGCUAAAUAACCAACUACUCCCAUGUGGUUUCGCAUACUACCAAAUGACUCUCUUAACAUUUUGAAGUUUCCAAAUAACCCCACAUAAUUUUAUAUAAAGGGAAAACUUGACGAAAAGCAAUUUCCUAUUAGUUGAAAUGCUAGUAUUAACCAAAUGAGAACUGAAUAGAUAUUUAUGUUAAAUUAUAUGGAAUCAAGUGGAUAUUAUAUUAUAAUUUUACCAUAUGCACUUUAGGAUGGUGCCUAGAUACAGAGAUGCACUUUUCGCUCACUUUUUACUUUGCAUAAAACCACAUAUGAGUAACGUGAAUAUUCUAAAACAUUAGAAAAGUAGCAUGGUAAUAUGCAAAAACAUAGGGUGUUUCUAGUAAUUUAAUCCAAUUUGUACAUAAAAGCAUAGUUAUUAAAUUCGAUCCCGAUAAACUUUUGAACUUCAGUUGAACAAGAACUGUAGUAAGUAUUCUAUGCUGCUGAAAAUCAAUUGUUUUCCUUCUUUUUUCGCAGAAAAACUUUGAACUUCUGUCGAACGGGAACUAGGAGGUAUCCUAUCCUAUGCUGCUGUUUUUGGGUGCUUAGUGCUCUUACUUCUAUGAAUAUUUUGGUCAACCCCUUCUUUUUCUUAGUGAAAUUAUGAGCAGAAUGAAACAAAUCCGCCGAUUCAGGCAGCCAUGUCAAACAAUCAGGGAAAUCAUUAAUGGCGCAAAAAAGAAAAAAAAAAUCUUCUCAAGCCUCAUUUCCAUCUCAAUUCCACGGAUAACAGCCUAUUUGACCAGAGCAUUAAUUUCUUUAAGUUUUUUUUUUUUUGUUAAGUAGUACCCAACUAAAUUAAUAAAGAUGUUAAACUUUGACUCAAUGAUGAAUAAUUUUUUAUGCAUUUAAUGUCAACUUGACAGACGAAGCAUUCUCUACCCCUUGAAAAUAGAAGGUAUUCACAGUACACCAAAAUACAAGGAAUGUGAAAAUGCAGAUGCCAAACAAAACGUUGAAUAGAAUUGGGAUUGACGCAUGAAGAUAACAAGGAUUCAAAGCCAAAGAAAACUGACUCAUGGGAGGCCAAUUUGAGGUGCUAGAAAAAGAAGUAAAGCUUAAACCAUGAAAGAGAAGGGGGAAGAUUACUGUAAGAAGUAGAAAUGCAAGAAAACUGGGGAGAAAGGUGGGGAGGGCAAUAAUGCGCAAAUACCGUUCGUUAGAUCCCCCCUAAAAGAGUAGAGUAGAACCCACUUGUACCUUUUUUUUGUACAUUCGUCUCAAAUGCAUCUCAGGUAAUCUCACGAAUUUUUAUAGCACAAACUAACAUGUACAAAAACAGCAAUUUGUUGAGGAAAAUAACUAAAUUAUGGCGAGCUAAACGCUCGAGAGAAAAUGCACCCAAUAAUCACCCCCUUGGUUUUUUGGUUCCAUCUUUCUGACACUCAUUUUCUUCUGGGAUGUGAAGGACCAAUUUGCUGGUGGUAUUUGUGGACUUCUUCACCCUGGUGAAGCACUCUGGACUUCAGGUAUGAUAAGAACCAGUAGUAAAUCACUAACCAUAGGCCCGGCAGCCAGCCGUUGUUUAAUGAAGGUAAGAUGUAGUACUAUAUCAUUUCUCUCUGUGCUUUUAGCUCCAGAAAUGCAUAUUCUUGGAUACAGAUUAUGCAAGGUCAUGUGCACUUGUGCUUAACCUAGGUUACAAGAAGAGAGAUAUUCUACUUAUCGAACAGACUACAAGAGCAAGAUCAAAAUCUCUGUUCUUACAACGUUCAUGCAAAGUCAUCAACCCUCAUUUAACUGUAAAGAAAAAGGGAAAGGAAAGGAAAAAGUUGAUGCACUUCUCAUUGCUAGUCAAGUCACUGGCAAAAACCAGGAAAAACCAAUGAAAAUGUUGACAUUGAUUCCCAGUAAAAUUAAGGUUGCACCAUAACAAAGUACUCCUAAGUGUUGGUCACUGGCAAAUGUCUUCUGGGCGUCCAUUUGAUGCACAAAUGAAGUUUCAAAACUAGGACCGACAUUACUCUAAAACUGAGAAUUUAACUUAGAAAGAGGCAAGAAAUCAUUACAAUUAAGCCAAAUGACAGGUAUCACUUCAACAAAAAAAACUCCCUCGAGGUUUAAACGACGGGAAAGCCAAGAUAUUCUUGUCACCAUACGCGAAGGCCCUUCCUAACUUUGCCAUCACCGUGUAGAUAAAAUUUCUUUAACAGUGUAAAAUAAGACAAAAAGCCAAUAACAAUACAGGAAAAAGACAACACAAAGGAAAAGCCAAUUUAAUCCCUUGGGACAGAGAAGCAAAACAUUUAACGACCAAAGACAGCAAUAAGCAAGGCUUUCUAAAGCUUGUAUAAUUCAUAACAAAAUCUUUUACAUCAGUUCACCAAGCAUAAUAAGAUACCAACCGUAUCUUCAUUUGACUUAGACGUCAAUCAAUUUACAGCUACUGUCAUAUAUUCUAAUUACAAGGUUCAAGAGCUCUGCCCUUUACUUAUUUCAUUGUAUCAGAAUCAAUCAAUGCACUUUUGACCAGUACUAGAUACUUUGUCAUGACGGCUAAGCAUCACCAGGCCUCCAUUGAUGCAUGAAAAUGCUUCUACACCUGACACUGGAUACAAAAUUCACAAGAUUAUGAAUAAAUUUAACCUCGACUGGUGCAGGAAAAUGCUUCCAUACAAAUGUCCAUAUAAAUUGAGCAUCAUUCACAGAAAAGUUUCUAUCAAGCUACA
rnacentral:lncRNA from 1 species